rnacentral:lncRNA from 1 species
UUUUUUUUUUUUUUUUUUUUGUCAGCAACGAUACAUUUGUAUAACCUACUCUAUCCUAAUUUAGGGGGAGGGGAGCCUAAAGAGGCUGUUGUAGGGACUAGUAGGUAUACAGACCCAACUAGACCAAGGGAGUGCUAUGACAUAACCCUUAGAUUUUUUUCGCUGCUGAUGAGGUUUGAACCCUCACCAACAGCCCAAGGAGGGACUUAAGUCCCUCCCAGGUGGCCACUGAGCCAUUGGCCCAGUGGUUAAUUACGUUUAUGGUAGUCAUUUGGGGAAAAUUUCUAACUAGUAAUGGCCUAGGUAGAUUGCUGACAUAAAUAAGGUAACAAAAAACAUGCACCCCUCUUUAGAGGAUUCAUAUACUGAUAAGUGACUAAUUUACGUAAUAAUUGUAUGAUAUUUUAUAUUAUUUUUAGUCACUUUAGUUAUAUUAUUGGAAGAAUAUGAAUCAUUUUGGCUAUAAUUGGUGAAAAAUGCUUUUAAGUGAUUAAAUGAGGUUUUUAUCACUUUUUAGUGGAUUUUGUGUGUUUUGACAGUUUUGACACAUUUUCGUAUUUUGGCUAUAACUUGAGCUACAAUGAUCGGAUUGGGAUGAUUCUUGAACCCAUUUGAAGAUAAGAGAUAGAUCUACAACUUUGGUGAAGACAUCUGAAUCCAGUUUGAAGGUUUUCCAGGUCAAAAAGCCGAAGUACAGAGUCAAUUGCUAUUGGUCGAAACUAGAACAAGGCAUGGAGCAGGCAAGGGUAUUUCGGUCAUAUCUCAGCCUACACAGAUCCAAAUGAGGUGAUUCUUGAUGCAUUGGAAAGAUAACUCAAAAGGCUACAACUUUCAUGUUUUAGACAUGAGCUGGUUCAGCCUCUAACAUCAAGAAAAGAUCGGUUGAAGUUGAGCCAAAAACAGAGCAAGUGAUCCACACUCGGAUCCACUAUUCAUCCGAACCCUCGGCUGUUUCUGGGUUAGUGGAUCCGAGCUCGGAUCCAUACGGAUCCGAGGUACUGUAGCAGCUCGGAUCACUGUAGCAGCCCAGAUUUACUGUAGCAAUCCGGCCGGAAUUUGGCCGGAUUUGUGGCCGGAUUCCUGGCCGGAUUGUGGUCAGAGAAGUCUGCUUUUUACGCGGAAAACUCAAUUUCACCUCCACCAACUCACAUGGGAUGCUAGACAUGUGAGAAACAUUACCAGCUGUAAGGAGAAAGUGAAAAGCUUCAUUCCUUGACCAUUUUCAUCAUUAAAAAGAGCCAAAUUCAUUGCAAGAAGGAGAGAUGGGAGUAGAUAGCAGAGAUUGGAGUUCAUAGCAGAAAAAUAGAGAGUGAGCUACGGGAGAAAGCUUGAAGCUGCAGAAAUGUAGCUCUUUCAUCUUCCUAGUGUUAGUUUAGCUUAGUAUAGAGUAGUGUAGCUUUUCCAUUCUUGUUUAUUAUCUAGAUUAGGAUGAAGAUGGAGGAUGAAGAAGGCAAGGAAGAAAGCUCAUGUGACAAGGGUUGUAUUCCUUCCAAACUCUUUAUCUUUUGUAUUUGAUUCCAAGUUUAGUUAAUAUACAAGUUCUGGAUUUUGUGUUUAAUAUGUGUAUCUAAAGUUUAAGCCUUGGGUUUGGUUGAACAUUCUAUGAUUGUUAGUGUUUAUUAUUUGGCUAUUUGAUUGCUAGUAUUUGAGCAAGUUAUUUAGCACUUUGGCUCUUGAAAUCAUGAUUAAUCUGGUACCAUUAAUUGUGAUUAUCUAAGGUGUUGUUUCUGCAAUGAAAAUUGAGAUUUAACACUAGUUCAAGAAGUGUUAAACAUAGGGAGUACACUCACGAAAGUAGAGGUGCACUUAUGUGGUUUUUAGUGAUUCAUUUCAUGUAAUUUCAUUGAAGAAAUGAACUUGUAGCUAAUUUCAUAACCAUGAAAAUAGGUAUGGAUUAGUUAUGAGUAUAGUUGAUUCACUACGAAAGUAGGUUUCACAUGUUAAGGAAAUUACACCAUAACUAGCCUAAAUGUAGUAUUCAAUGAUCCAAAUGUAGCACUUGCAUGAGUAGUUAGGGAUACCACAACCUAAGGAGCUUUUAUUUGUUAUUUUGUAUAAUUUCAGUAGGUUAAAUUUCUUAUAAUUCAUUGAUAGUCUAAAUAAUAGAGAAGCUUUAGUAAUACCGGUAAUUGUUCACUCUUCCCUGUGGGAUCGACCCGAUAUAUACCCUAAACUACUAGUUGACCUGUAUACUUGCAGUGAACGGGUGUAAUUCGGUUUUUUAACUUGUACGUAUGUAAAAUACCCGUCAAGUUUUUGGCGCCGUUGCCGGGGAAGAUUUGGCAAUAUCGGUGUGAAGAGCAACUUUAUUAAUUUAGACAAUUUUUCUUAUUUUUGUUGUUUUUGCUGUAUCUUAUGUGUUUUAUGUCAUUUUUUUUUAAUCAACUUUUAUUUUAUUUUAUUUUUCUGUUUUAGUUUGUGUCUUGGAAUCUAUCCUUCUUAACUAAUCUUACUUUUGAGAUUGUUUAAAAGUAAUUUUAGAUAAUGAGGAGGGUAGGUCAAUUUGGAGGACAAUGCUUGAGAAGUGGAAGAUUGGAAAUGGAUGGUUACCAAGUGCAAAGCUCUUUCAAUAGAGGUAACCAAGAAAUUACUAGAGGUAUGUCUUAUGAAGAUGGUUUGAAGUGUUUAAAGGCUAAAUUUGAUGUUAUGAUGUUACAAGUUCAAAUGGACACAAUUAUGCAUAAAAUUGAGCAAGGGAGGAAUGUUAAUGCUUUUAAUUCUUAUCAUGUGAUUUGUGACUUGUGUGGAAGUUAUCAUGCUACUAAUACAUGUAUGCAAGCACAAAAUGUGGAUUAUUAUGAUGAAUUAGAGCAUUACAAUCCUUGUUUUGAUCAAUAUAGUGCUAAUUGGAGCAAUUCUCCUGCUUAUGGUUGGGAUGAUCAAUGUACUUAUAGUGAUUAUUCAUGUUUUUAUGAUUACCAACCUGAAAGUGUCCAAUAUGAAUCAAAACCAUCUUGGGAGUUGGCAAUAGAGAAGUUAGCUAAUGCACCUCUGCCUUGGGAGUUAGAAAGUGAACCAUUAGCUAAUGAUUCUAAUGCAUCUUGGGAGCUAGCUGUAGAAAAUUUUUCUAAUCAAUUUGAUUUAGCAUUAGAAAAGCUAGCAAAUGUAACUUCCGACCGUUUUGAUAGGAUUGAGGAAAGAAUAGAUGAAUUAGCUUCUCACUUUGGUCGAAUACAUGAGCAAUUGAGUGCAUUGUGUGAAGUUAUUUCCUCUAAUAAUGUGCAAAAUGAUCCUAGCAUGAAUGGUGGGAAUGUUGUAUGUGAAAAUGGGUUGCAUUUUGAUGAAAAUGAUGAAUCUCAAGAGUGUUUUAAUGAGCAAAUAUCCAUUUCACAUGAUAAUAUCUUUGGAACUACCUUUGAACCUCAAGAGGUGAGUUUUAAUGGCUCAAUUUUCACCCCUCUUGAGGAGUGUAUAAAAAGUACAGGUUUUAAAGAUAUUCCUGCCCAAGAUACUCUAAUGGCAUUCCCUUUGGUAAGUUCUCAAGUGGUGCAUAUUCAAGGUAAUAUCUAUGAACCACUUGGGAUAGGUAAGUCACUUCCAUUUCUCACAUCAUUAGAUCAUGUGGCUUUUGCUAUAAAGUCACCAUUUAAUGAUCCACCACGACCACAAAUGGUGGAUUAUUCGCUAACAAAGCCUCCUUGAAAAAAUGAGGAGAAAUAGUCAAGCUAUUGACUUUAAAGAAGCGCUUAUUGGGAGGCAACCCAAUGUUUGUUUAAGUUCAUUUUACUUUGGAGUGAUUUUAUGUUUAAAGUAUAAGUUUGAGUAAUUUUGUUGUUUUUCAUUUGUAGGUUUUGGAAAAGUGACCAAAUGAGGUGAAAAAGCGAAGUUUGAUCAAAGAUCUCAAUACCUCAAAUUCAGUAAUUAUGAUUUUUGAUGCAUUAAAGAGGUUUAGAAUGCAUGUUUAGAUCAUUUUACAUGUGCGUGAAUGGUUUAUUUUGACAUAGAAAUGAUCUAGGGUGUAUUUUGAAGAAUUGAGGUCAAACUGAAAAUUGCAAAAAUUCUGCAAUAAGUGCAGAUUCAAUGGAUCCAAGGCCUCGGAUCCAUAUGGAUCCAAGGCCUCGGAUCCACUUCUGCAAUCAGAGAAAACUUCGAGCUUCUGGAUCCGAACUCGGAUCCAUAUGGAUCCAAGGCCUCGGAUCCACUUCUGCAAUCAGAAAAAAAUUCGAACUUCUUGAUCCGAGCUCACUCACAAUGAUCCGACCUCGGAUCCUUUCAAAAACGACCUCGGAUCCUGUUAAAAACGAAGACUUUGAUCACUUUUCAACUCCACUUUUCUUCAUGUUGGCUUGUUUUUAGUAAGUUUUAGUUGUUCGAUUAAUGUUUUUGUGUGUUUUGUAGGUGGCAAUGGCAAGAGUUCAUGCAAAUGAUCUCAAUUGCAAAGGUGUUUAUAUUAAGGCAAAAAGGGAGUUUUCAUGUUCAAUUGAUGCAUUUCAUGCAUUUAAGGUGUUUCAUGUUUAAGUUAUAUUCAUGCAUGAUCAUGUUAAAUUUGAAUUUUAUUCAAAAAACAUGAAGUAGGUUGAAUGUGGAAGGUUGGCCAAGCAAAUUUGGAGGAAAAACUGCAGAAAACAGCUUUUUCUGCAGCAAAUCCGGCCAUAAAUCCGGCCAAAUGUUGGCCGGAUUGAAGGCCGGAUAGUCAGGGGAGAAAAGAAAAUUUUUUCGAGCAUUCUGGACAGAAUCCGGCCGAAAAUCCGGCCUGAAAUCCGGCCAAAAACUGGCCGGAUUGUAAAAAAAAAAAAAAAAAUAAAAAAAGCCCACUGUAGCAAAUCCGGCCGGAAAUCCGCCAAAAACUGGCCGGAUAUGCAACAGUAAAAAAAAAAAAAAAAUUUCUGCCCAGAAUCCCUCCACGACUCACAAUUUUUCUCCCUUCUUCUUCAACCCAACUCACACACUAACACCUCAAACACACACCACUCACUAAAACACCACUUUUCACCAUUUAAUCUUCAAAUAACCUUCACCAAAUCACUUUCUCCCAUCCUCUAGAGUGAAUUUCAUAGUUCAUAUUUUUUCAAAAACAACUCUAAAGUGGUUUCAAGCUUACCAUUAGUUAGGGUUCUACCUUCUUGAAAUCACUCAAUUGAGGUCAAAUUGGAGUAAGUUUUUUUUGGGGGUUUUCACAUCAUAUUCAUCUCUAAACAUCACCAAACCACCUUGAGGUAACAAUUCUUCACCUAACUUUGUUAUUUGAAUUUUGCCAUGAAUGAAUAUUUUCUAUUUUUAGGCAAUUUUUAAUAUGUGAAGUUAGGUGCAUUUAUUUGAGCUUAUUGAUGCUAUUGGUGAUUGUUAGUGAUAACUAUAUUUUGUGAUUUGCAUUUAUUGUACUUAUUUGGUGAAUUCUUGCUAGUUUUAUGCUUAAUUUGGCUUGAUGACGAAGUUGCAUAUUAAGUAGCCAAAUGUAGCAUUUUAAUUAGCUUAGUGGGAGUUUUUUAUAUUUAUGUGAGUAAUUUAGAUUAUCUAAUGAAUGAAAAGGUGCUUGAUUGAAUGAUUUUGUGAAUUCUUAGGUAAUUCUAAAAGAAGAGGUGAAUUGAAGAUGACCUUAAUUGAUGAAAUUCAUAAAUGCACUUACAAUUUUUGUGGUUCAAUAGUUUUUAGUAUUUCAUGAAUUCUCACGAAGGUCAUUUAUAUUUUGGUUUGGUGUGUUUGCCUCCAUUUUGAGAUUACUUUUGUACUUGCGGGGAUUUGAUCAUUGAUGACAAAAUGUAUAAAUGGAACUUAUUUUGUUCAUGAUUGUGGAUUUUUUGUGUGAAAUUAGCUUCCCUUUGCUUUGGAUACUAAUGCAUAUAUUUGAUUAGCAAAGAUUAGCUCAUUUCAUGUUUUUAUCCCUUGAACAUUGUAUGGUUCCACAUGCUUGAUCAUUUUUCCUUUUUCCUUGAAUUGCAUGAUUUUGUUGAUUGCAACCUUUUAUUUUUAAGAAAUUUAUUUGUUUUGAUUUUGUCUUUUUCAGGGUGCAAUAAGUGAACUCUCCAUUCUUUCUCAAAUACGGUUGGAAAUUCAUCACUUGGACAUGGAUUCGGAUUGCGCAAGUUCAAUUGAGCAGUAUUUUCUUUUACUCCUUAUUUAUUUUCCUUUUCUCACAUUGAGGACAAUGUGAAGUUUAAGUGUGGGGGAGGAAAGUAUUGAACUUGCAUUUACUUGCUAGGUGAUGAUAUUUUGUGGAUUUAAAUGCUUAGAAAUGUUGGAAUUGUGUUUGAAAUGCUUGCCAUGUGGAUAAUUUGCUAGAAAAUAGGUUUGUUGGCAGGGAGUUUUCUUCCAUUUAUAAGGAGAAACUCUGUAAAAAUUUUUCUAAAAUCUUUUCCAAUAUUUCACUAUAGCCCAAAAUUUCUUCAAAUUUUUGCAUUUUCAUUCAAAAAGGGCUAAUUGUUCCAACCUUAUUCUUCCAAUUGUUGAAAUGUUAUAUGUAUUUUGGAAGGUUUAGUCCUCAUUUAACUUGGAAAUGGUUAUUAUGCAAUUAGAAUUUUUACAUUUUAGAAAGUAUAUUUGGUAAAAUGAGGAAAAUUAUGCCUAUAAUUUUACAUGUUUAAUGAGAUUUCUUCUCUUUACUUAAUUUUGCAAGUAAGUGAUUGAUAUAGUCGAUAAAGGUUAUAUUCCUCCUUUGAUUAUUCUUAUAUAUUUUCUAAGAGGGAAUAUCUAUUUAUUGUCCUUUAUUUCUGAAAAAAAAAAGUAGAAAAAAAAAGAGAGAGAAAAGAAAAGAAAGUAAAUAAAAAUUGUUCUACUCCAAUGAUUCUCGUACCGAGUAACCGGGGGUUGGCAUCUACAAAUGUCGACAUUCGCGUAAAAAGGUACUUGAAUUAAGAGUAUGCAUUAGCAACUUGAAUAAGUGAAAUGUUGAGUAACCGGGGAUCUUCACCUAAAAGUGUCGAUUUUCGCGUAAAAAGGCAUUCUCACUAUUUAAGUAAAAUUUGUGUGAAUAAAUCCCUCUUAGUUAUAGAAUUUUGAGAAAAAGAUGAUUAUAAGGAGGAGGAAGGCUAUAAAUUGACUAUGUGAUUUGCUUAUUUGUAAAAUUAAGUUAGGGUAAGAGAUUAAGUUUAACUUGUUGAAUUUAGGGUAUAAUUAUCUUUUCCUUUACUUGAUAUUAUGAGUAUUUAGUGUAAAUUGAAUAAUUGUAUAAUGAUUAUUUUCCAAGUCUUGAGGAAUUAAAUUGGACAAAGUGCAUAUAUUGUUUCACCUCUUGAAUCAUUGCAUUUGAUUAUGUGUGAAUUGCUUGAGGACAAGCAAUGAUUUAAGUGUGGGGGAGUUUGAUAAGUGACUAAUUUACGUAAUAAUUGUAUAAUAUUUUAUAUUAUUUUUAGUCACUUUAGUUAUAUUAUUGGAAGAAUAUGAAUCAUUUUGGCUAUAAUUGGUGAAAAAUGCUUUUAAGUGAUUAAAUGAGGUUUUUAUCACUUUUUAGUGGAUUUUGUGUAUUUUGACAGUUUUGACACAUUUUCGUAUUUCGGCUAUAACUUGAGCUACAAUGAUCGGAUUGGGAUGAUUCUUGAACCCAUUUGAAGAUAAGAGAUAGAUCUACAACUUUGGUGAAGACAUCUGAAUCCAGUUUGAAGGUUUUCCAGGUCAAAAAGCCGAAGUACAGAGUCAAUUGCUAUUGGUCGAAACUAGAACAAGGCAUGGAGCAGGCAAGGGUAUUUCGGUCAUAUCUCAGCCUACACAGAUCCAAAUGAGGUGAUUCUUGAUGCAUUGGAAAGAUAACUCAAAAGGUUACAACUUUCAUGUUUUAGACAUGAGCUGGUUCAGCCUCUAACAUCAAGAAAAGAUCGGUUGAAGUUGAGCCAAAAACAGAGCAAGUGAUCCACACUCGGAUCCACUAUUCAUCCGAACCCUCGGCUGUUUCUGGGUUAGUGGAUCCGAGCUCGGAUCCAUACGGAUCCGAGGUACUGUAGCAGCUCGGAUCACUGUAGCAGCCCAGAUUUACUGUAGCAAUCCGGCCGGAAUUUGGCCGGAUUUGUGGCCGGAUUCCUGGCCGGAUUGUGGUCAGAGAAGUCUGCUUUUUACGCGGAAAACUCAAUUUCACCUCCACCAACUCACAUGGGAUGCUAGACAUGUGAGAAACAUUACCAGCUGUAAGGAGAAAGUGAAAAGCUUCAUUCCUUGACCAUUUUCAUCAUUAAAAAGAGCCAAAUUCAUUGCAAGAAGGAGAGAUGGGAGUAGAUAGCAGAGAUUGGAGUUCAUAGCAGAAAAAUAGAGAGUGAGCUACGGGAGAAAGCUUGAAGCUGCAGAAAUGUAGCUCUUUCAUCUUCCUAGUGUUAGUUUAGCUUAGUAUAGAGUAGUGUAGCUUUUCCAUUCUUGUUUAUUAUCUAGAUUAGGAUGAAGAUGGAGGAUGAAGAAGGCAAGGAAGAAAGCUCAUGUGACAAGGGUUGUAUUCCUUCCAAACUCUUUAUCUUUUGUAUUUGAUUCCAAGUUUAGUUAAUAUACAAGUUCUGGAUUUUGUGUUUAAUAUGUGUAUCUAAAGUUUAAGCCUUGGGUUUGGUUGAACAUUCUAUGAUUGUUAGUGUUUAUUAUUUGGCUAUUUGAUUGCUAGUAUUUGAGCAAGUUAUUUAGCACUUUGGCUCUUGAAAUCAUGAUUAAUCUGGUACCAUUAAUUGUGAUUAUCUAAGGUGUUGUUUCUGCAAUGAAAAUUGAGAUUUAACACUAGUUCAAGAAGUGUUAAACAUAGGGAGUACACUCACGAAAGUAGAGGUGCACUUAUGUGGUUUUUAGUGAUUCAUUUCAUGUAAUUUCAUUGAAGAAAUGAACUUGUAACUAAUUUCAUAACCAUGAAAAUAGGUAUGGAUUAGUUAUGAGUAUAGUUGAUUCACUACGAAAGUAGGUUUCAAAUGCAUAAGGAAAUUACACCAUAACUAGCCUAAAUGUAGUAUUCAAUGAUCCAAAUGUAGCACUUGCAUGAGUAGUUAGGGAUACCACAACCUAAGGAGCUUUUAUUUGUUAUUUUGUAUAAUUUCAGUAGGUUAAAUUUCUUAUAAUUCAUUGAUAGUCUAAAUAAUAGAGAAGCUUUAGUAAUACCAGUAAUUGUUCACUCUUCCCUGUGGGAUCGACCCGAUAUAUACCCUAAACUACUAGUUGACCUGUAUACUUGCAGUGAACGGGUGUAAUUCGGUUUUUUAACUUGUACGUAUGUAAAAUACCCGUCAUAUACAGACAUGAAAGUUCUUAUUUCAAUAAACCAUUUUCUCUUUCUUAGAUGGUAUGCUUAAUUGAAGACUAUUAAUGGGUGAACGGAUACUUGAUUUUUACCCAUUUUUACAUCUAACUCUCGUCCAAUUAAUUUUGCUUACAGUUUAUCUCUCUUCCAAUAACUUUUAUCGCUUUUAAUAAAUUUAAAUUGUUCUUUUUUUUUAUCUAUAGUAACUUUAUUUACUAUGAAUUUAAUUGUUACAAUGGUAAAUUUAUUACCUUUGGCAUACAGAAAUGAAUAUAUCAUUAGGUCCCGUAUCUCGUGUGUUUUCUCCACAAUUUAUUCAUCUCUUUAGGAGUUCUGAAAAUGCAAAGGCAGCCUCUAUUAUCAGGAAUGGUAAUUGGGCGUGGCCAAGCGGGAAAAAUUACACUGCAGCAGUGAUUUAGUUGGUUGCUGCCACCCCUCCUUAGUUCCCUUUGAUUACUCAAGCUGACUCUGCAUUUUGGAAUCCUAGUCUUAAUAGUCAUUGUAUAUAGUAGGUUAUACUAAUAAUUGCAGAGAGGGAGUCCCUAUAGUUUGUGUACUCUUCUUGAGAAUCAACAAAAUGAUGGCACGAGCAUUGUCAUUGUGAAAAUUGGCACCGAGAAAUCUUAGAACAACAUAAAAACAAAAGAAACUGGAAUAUUUGUGUAAUUACUUAGGAAAUAUACUAAUUUAAGCAUGUCAAAAUAUCACUAUACAUCCAUUUUUUACUUAGAGAAAAAUACAAUUUUAGUCCUUAAUAUUUGGUUUGUGUGCCAAAUUAGUUCCUAAUGUAUCGAUCAAAGCAAAUACAGUCCCAAAACUUUUAAGAGAAAAAUUCAGUUUUAGUCCUUAAUAUUUGGCUUGUCUGUCAAAUUAAUCCCUAAUAUUUCAACCAAAACAAAUACUCUCCCAAAUUUUUUUUUAUUUCAGCCAUAAGGACAAUUGAUGAAAAUUUCAACAAUAACUAACGCUCAUUGCCAUUAGUCAACAAUUUUAAUUUUGCACUUAUGGUCCCCAAUGUUUGGAAUUCGAAUCAUAAUUGUCCUCUAAAUUUUAAAUAAGGAUAUUGAGGAUUUUGGAAUUAAAUAAGAUGCAAAUUAAAAUCAAAUUAUGAUAAAUGGGUAAUAAAAGUCUAAUAAUAAAAAUAUAAAAAAGGAACACAUCACUCAUAAGGGGAUAGAUGUAAUUUAGUCAAAUCACAAGGUUGAUUUUGUAAUUUGGCCAAGGCACGAGGGAGGAAGAUAUAAUAAAUUUGUAAAAUAAAGUACAUAUGCACCUCCUAUUGCUUGAGGGAUAAAUUUAUGAGGAUUUAUGAGUACUAGAUCUUAUGUACACUGACACUGGAUAGGCUAUCACAUUUGGAUAAAUGAUAUUGAUGCACAACCUAUGGCUUCAAAAUUAAUACAUAAUCCCCUCAUGAUUUGGAUUAAAGUAUUAAAGUGACGGAUAUGGUUAUUCGUAACGGAACUUUUAAAAAUGUCGAAAAUUAUGUUAUUGCUUUACCAUAUAACCCCCUUAUGAUUUUCAAAAUAUACACAUAACUCUCCUUGGUUAAUAAAUAAUUUUCACUUUACAUAAGUGUAUUUUUUAUAUUUUAGGUGACUCCACUACAAAUAAUCAUUUUCGUCAAUUUGACACUUUAAUUCAAAUCAUGAGAGAAUUAUGUAUAGUUUUUUAAACCAUAGGGGAAUUAUGUUAAAAAAACUAAACCACAGGGAGGUAAAGUGUAAUUUGUCCUAUUUUCUUUUAUUUAUAUAUUUGAUAUCCUAAAUUCACAAACAUACUUGUAUGUUAUAUAAAGGUUUUCUUUAUUUCAUAACCUUUUUUCUAAAUGUUUUUGCUAGCAAGAAGAGGUGAGAAUUACGGAGCGAGGAGGGAAUAGUGAGAUUUGAAUACAAGACCUUUAAUUUCUGAAACCUCAAAUCUCUAUUUUGCCACCUAAGAAUAUAUGAUCAGCACAUAAAUAAAGGGUAAAUUACACAAACUUGCUUGUAGAUUCACAAAUUGCCACAAAACUCUUUAACAUUUUAAAAUAUCUACAAAACUCCCUAUGAUUUCAAGCAAAGUGAAAAUUUGAUAGAAAAUAACCCCCAUAAAGUCUUUAGUUGAAAUAUCAGUAUUGUUCUUGUUUAGGUAUUAAAUUGACAAUGGCAUGAGCAUUUUUCCAUAAAAUCAUAUGAGAAUUUCGUCAAUAAAUGCAAAACUUACAACCGUUAAAGUGGAUAUUUAUGUAAAUUAUAAAGGUUUAGACGAAUAUUAUGAUUUUGUCAUGCACAUUUUUUUGAGCACAUCUAGAUGAGUCACCGUAAUAGUUGGUAUUUUUGUCUAUUUUCUACUUCACAUAAAAUUAUAGGAGAUCAUGUAGGUAUUUUAAAACCUUAAAAAGGAAUAUGUAGCAAUAUGAAAAAUCACAGUGGAGUUAAGUGUAAUUUACACAAAAAUAUAGAUGGACUAACUCUCACCUUAGAGCCUUCAUAAAAACCGUCGAGAUAAAUAGCGGCGGAGGAGGGUGAACAGACCGGGUUGAAUGAAAAAGUGGCGAGGAUGAAGAGGAGAAAGAUCAGCAGGCCAUCAGACUUCAAAAUCCCUGUUGAUGUAGUCUUCGAUGUGCUCAAAAGACUUCCAGCAAAGUCGCUCAUGCGAUUCAAAGCGGUCUCUAAGGCAUGGCAUUGCCUAAUCUGCGAUCCCUACUUUGCAGAAUCUCACCGUGAUUAUUCUCAUAUUAGGCCUGAUGCCUCCUAUUUUCUAUUUGGAUUCGUUCAAAUACUAUUGUCCCAACAAAUCUUAAUGAAUGCUUUUCCUCCCAAAUUCCUACUCAUGCUUUCCAAAAUUAUGUGCUUUGCACCGAAAUUGUGCAUGGCCUUGUCUGUUUGUUAGAGAAGAAAAUUCUGCAGCCUCACGUCCUCAAUCUCACCACAGGGGAGAAGAUGGCUCUUCCAUGGACACCGUUGAGCGCUGUAAACAGAUACGAAACUGUUAGCCGUUCUUAUGCCAUGGGUUUUGAUCCAUCUACCAAGAAAUAUGUAGUCAUCUUCAUACUUAAAAAUAAAGAAAAUUUAAAUAAGGAGUGUAGGAUCCUUGCCUUGGGAGCCCCAUCAUGGAGGAAAAUACACGAGUUACCAAUUUGGGGACUUUCUCAAAGGAAUAUAUACGCUAAUGGAACCAUAUAUUGGAUGGAUGAAUUAGCCAUGAAUGGUAGAAAAGGUAUUCACUGUUUCAGUGUUGCUGGGGAGAAAUUUGAAGUACUUUUUGGACCUGAAGGUGUCAAAAGCACAGGGCAAUUAGCACAAGUUAGAGGGUGUUUGGCUUUUUUAUGCCUGAAAGAUGCUUCUUCAGGAAUGUGUGACCUCUGGAGAAUGGACAGGAAUAAGAACAAAGUCUGGACCAAGACCACAAUUCAAAUCAAAUUGUGGGACUCUCCUCCUGUUAUGCUUGAAAUUAAAAUUAUUGGCUCCACAAAAAGAGGUGAAAUCUUAAUUACAGUUGGUAGCAAGUGGUCACCUAGGAGCAAAUUAAUUGUUUAUGAUUUGGAAACUGGAAAAUUUAGGACUACUUGGAUCACCUGUCCAUCGCAUCCUAAGGGCAAAGUUUGAGACCUGAUUUUCUUAGUUUCUCAUGCUUCUGCGGGCGAUCAUGUGGAAAACAUUCUUCCCCUGGAGACUUGCAAGGGAAAGAAGAACAGAAAAGAACAAAUCAGCUUAAAAUGUGUAUCAAGUUCACUAUUUGACGGUUAUGUUCAAUAUUAAUGCGCAGAGUCAUACGUGCAAUGAUUGUAACAGUGAUGAAUUUUCUCUAGUGUUGGGGUUUAUUUUACUGUUAGAUUCCGUGAUUCUACAGAUAUUCUGUGAUUUGGCUAGCUUCUAUAUAGUAUAGUUUUGAAUGAUAUGUAUUUUACCUCAAAAAAGAGAAUGCAAGUUUUUUCUGGAAUGACUUUCUUGCAAAUUUGGUGUCUGGAUAUUACUGGAUAACUGUUACUCAUCUUUCUUUCUUGUUUUUACUGGGAAAAUCUGCAACUAUUGUUGACUCAGGUAUUUGAAAUUUCAAAAUCUCAGUGACCAUCUCUCAUGCAGUGGCGAGGUUCCAAUUUUGAAGAUGACAUGUUUCAGCUGACAAAUUUAACAAGUUCGGGUGGCAGUAGUACUGAAAUUUCACUUGCAUCAAAGUAUUCCAAUCCAUGAUCCACAUAUUGAAACAUCGUGUAGUUUAAUAAGAGUAGCCUUGGUUCUUGAGUUACAAAGAGAAAAUGAUAAUGUGCCUUUAGAAGUGUGAGCCCCCGUAGCACAAUGCAACUAAUAUAUCUAUUCUUAAUCUGUGCUCAUUCACUACAUUGUCACUUUUCAGAACGAAAACCCGAAUGAUCGUCUUAAAUAUCUGCAUUGACCAAAUGCCUUUAACUGAACUGCCAAAAAAAAAAAAAAAAAAGGGAUUUAGGACUAAGCUAUACGUAUGUAUAUAAAAUCACAUAGUGAAAUGCAUAUUUGACAGACAUAAUAAUAUGUGGAAGAAGAGGAGUUUUAUUAAUCACAAACAAAACCCUUACAAUUUCUUUAAUUUUGCUUAAACUCUUCUCAAUUAAAUAUGAUAAUAAAAACCUUAUGUAUAGUGCACAAGGCUUGGUAAUUUAGAAACCAAACAAGAAACUACUAAAUAUUGCUCUAUACCUAGAACAAGAAAAUUACUGAAAUUUGACUAGAACAAGAAUUUCUAAAUCAACAAUGGGAAACAUCAAAAACUUGGUUUAAUUAUGCCAACAUAUAGGAAUUUCCAUCUUUCUUUCAUAUUUCUGUUUCUUAAUUCGCUCACCCUUUUCCAGAAGGAAAACUAAUGAAUUGCGUUUCCUUUCCCAUCCGGGCGAUGCACUCAUCAGCAGCCCGGCCGGAUAAAUUAUUGGAAACCAAACUAAGUUCAAUAUAAAUGGUAAGUAGCCCAGCACCAUGUCCCUGAACAAAGAAUUGAAGCGAAGCUGAAGACUAAAUCACGGAUUCUAUGGGGAGAUUUAAGUGGAACUGGAAGAAUAAGGCUAUGGAGAAGGGUAAGGGAAACGUUUCAAAGCCUCCCCAACUUCCAGAAGAUGUAAUCUUCAAUGUGCUCAAACGGCUGCCCAACUCUAACCAACAAAUACGUUAUGAGGGUUUGUUUAAGUUAGAUCAUACGUUUCCCUAACAUGGGACCAAUCACUCGAGUCGCUACUGGUAUUGACCAAUCAAACAAUUAUGGAUUUAACCGGUUAAUUUGGAGUAGAUUAUUAGGUUAAUUCGAAUAUCAAACCCUUGACAUUUAAAUAACAAAACAAUCAUAAGAAACUAAACUAAAAAACGUACAAAUACCAAUGAAUAAAAAAAAAUAAAUAAAAAUAAUUCGAUCUCAUAGAUGUUUGGAACCCUGACUUCAAGUCAACCCUUGACUAGAAAAGAAGAUUUAGCUACGCGUCCUCAAGGGAAAUCCACAGGACUCCAUUGAUAACAAUUGCAUAUCAUUUUUCUCCUCAAACUUACGAAAGAUAAGAAGAAUCCCUCCGUGAUACUUCGAAAAGUUAUCCCAAAAAAUGUUGCUGGCUAACUCCUAAUCGCACGGAAAUCCGGCUUUCUUUUUUUCCUCGUUUCCUAAUUGAAGUCUAUUUCUAACUAAAAACGAAUCUCCUAAAUAGAAAAAUAAACCACAAAAGAAAAUAUUCCAAGUUUCCUAAUUGAACCAUAAAACUAAUAAUGAGAAUUCAAGUCUUCCAAAUAUUCCUCUAAAGUUGCCCAGAGUUUGAAUCGAAUUUGGAAAUGGGCCCCGAACAUGUGAAUCCCAAAUCCUUCAACCUUGACAACCAAUUUGCAGAAAAUCACUCAUUUUUAGGAACUUUCACUCCAACACCCUACAAUUAGUACAAGUAACCAAAUAUAAGUAGAAUCCAUCAAUUAAAAUAAUAUCUGGUUAAAAUAAAGGGAAAAAAUCAUAAAUUAAAUAACAAUUUUGCACCCUAUUAGUGCUGGAAUUGAUUUAAAUCAACUAACAGUCUCGUAUACUUUUUCCAUAUUUUCUUUUAUGAGAGGUUUGCCGUUAGAGUCACUUAAGAUUGGUUUGUCUUCCUUUCCUCCUCCAUUUGUUACUUACAUUGUAAUUUCUAUAAAUGGCAAAUUCAUGGAACAAUUCCGUCUAAUUCAAAGUUCUUUCCUCCCUCUAAUAGCAUUCGAUAUAGGUUUUGGUUAUAUGACAUUAGAAGUUUGUUUUAGAAACAAUUCUUGCCUUUGUACUUUCUCGUAAGCAAAGAAAAUUAGCCGAUACAGGUAUGCUGGAUAUCGUGAUGAUAAUCGAUAAAACAAACUGGAUUCCUAACUUUUUAAGUCAUCGACCCUGAAUUGGCCAACAUUUGAUAUACGUCAAUAACAAAACACAACUUUUGAUCCUCAAUAUUUGAUCUGUGUGCCAAAUUGGUGCCUUAUAUUUCAGUCAAAACAAAUAUAGAUCCCAAAAUUUGUGAUUGUAAGCAGAUUUAGGACAAUAAUGGAAAACCAUCUUAACUAAUAGUCAACAUCAAAUUGGGGCUAAUCAAAAGUUUUGAAUUUGCAUAUUUAAUCCCUAAUAUUUUAAGUUUUGAUCAUUAUGGGUCCCUUAGAUUAGAUUUUAAGUAGUUACAACCAGGGCUUUUAAGAUGAAAUGAUAUCUGAAUUGAAUUAGAUAUAUGACAAAUAUGUUCCUAAAUAUCUAUAAAAUUUCAUAGCACGUUGUAUUAGCACAACAUGAUUGCAGCCUAAAUAGCAUAUCUUUGUUAGAUAAGCUAUAAUUUGAUGACAAUAUGCCAAUAAUAAAUAAAAUAUAAAAGUAGUGGAAGAAAAAGAAAAUUCUAAUUUUAUAAUCUAAGUAUAUUAUAGUUACUACUACACAAAUUGUUAUAUGUCUUGUGCAUGUAGAUUUCAAAUUCUUGUAGUUAGCCAUUAUACUUAAAAAAACUAUUGAAGAUAAGUAUCAAUGUGAAGGUAUUUUAGGAUUUUUGGGAUCUUUCUUUGGUUUUUUUGGGAAAAAUCAUUUAAAACGUUUCUCACAUUUUGUAAAAUGAUUUUUUUCGUCCCUCACUUUUAAAAGUGUAUUUUUACAUCCCUUACAAAUUCACAUUGAUCAAAUUUGAUCCCUACUUAGGUUUCCGCCAAAUUUUUGGCUGAAAUUCGUCACAUGCCUUGCAUGUGAUCAUUUUUAGGGGCAAAAUUGUCAAAUUAAAAUUUGCAUAAUCCGAUCUAUAGUCUCUUACAUUUUACAAAAUGAAUUGUUCCGUCCCUCACACUUCACAAAAUAAAUUUUUUAAUCCCUCGCAUUUUACAAAAUGAAUUUUUUUAUCCCUCAUUAACCUUGUGUAUAAAAAGUUUUUUUUUAAAUCCAUGUAUAUAUCCAUUUGAUUUCACUUGAACAGUACGAAUAACAUGUAAUAUUUUUCUAUUUGAUUUCACUUAAACAGACUAAUUGUAAUUGUAUACAUGCUAUUUAAUAGAUAUAUACAUGGAUUUAAAUCUAACAAUUUUGUUUUAAAUUCAUAUAUAUAUAUUUAUUUGAUUUUACCACGUGAAUCUAUUCAAUAUUUUUAACCUUUCUCUUUUGGUAAUAAUUCAUUUAUUGAGUUGUGUAAUGAGGCCAUCUAAUUAAUCAGUCCUAAUUCGAAUUCUAUAGUUAUGCUAACAAAUUGCAGUUUAAAUUUGAAAUUUUUAGUCACCACCUUUAAGACCAACAGUUGAAUUUCUUGCCUUUUGAUUGUCUUAAAAUUUGAAAGUGUCAAUCACUUACUUCUUUUUGUCAUACUUUUUCUUUGUUUAUUUUUUCUAUCCAAAUUUAAUUCGAUAUAAACACUUGAUAAUAUUUAGAAUUAAAUGUCUUCUUUAUUUUCAAUUUUCGAGUAAACGAAAAUAAACAUAAGUCAAAAGCUAAUAAUUUUUUUAAACUCUCUGGAUAUAUCUAUUUAAUUUCACUUGAACAGUACGUUCAAACGAAAUCAAAUAGAGAUAUAUUAUAUGCUAUUCGUAUUGUUCAUGUGAGAUUAAAUAGAUAUAUACAUGAGUUUAAAAAAAAUUAUUCAUACACAUGAUUAAUGAUGGAUGAAAAAUUUUAUUUUAUAAAAUAUAAGGGAUGAAAAAAUUCAUUUUGUGAAAUAUGAGGGACGAAAUAAUUCAUUUUGUGAAAUGUAACGGACAAAAAAAUUAAUUUUAUGAAAUGUGAGGGACUAUGAAUCAGAUUAUGUAAAUUUUGAUUUGAUAAUUUUGCCCUUAAAAAAUGAUCACAUAUAAGACACGUGAUAGAUUCCGACUAAAAACUAGUCGAAAAUUUAGAUAGGGACUAAAUUUGAUCAAUGUGAAUUUGUAAGGGAUGUAAAAGUACACUUUUAAAAGUGAGGGACGAAAAAAGUCAUUUUGUAAAAUUUGAGAGAUAUUUUAAACGAUUUUUUCUUUUUUUUUUGAAAGCUUUCUUUUAUUUUUUUUUUGUUGUCUUUUCUACCAAUUAAAAUCCAACGUUCCAAUACUUUAGCUUUAAAGUAUUUAUUUUAAUAUCUAUAUACCUUGAUAAUCAUUUAAUAGUUCAUAUAAUGUGUAUAAAAUGUCAAUUUCAUUUCAAAUUCAAUUGAUAAAUUGUUUAAAAUGCAAAAAAAAAAAAUCAACUUAAUUUGCCAAAACGUUAUAUUCCUUAUAGUUUGAAAAGAUAUAUAGUUAAGUUUAUUCAAAUAUUGCUAGAAAUAAAAAUACUAAAAAAAAAUAUCAAUUAUUUAUUAAUAGUGAGAAAUACUUAUACACAUAAAUUAUACCAAAUUUAAGAUUAACUGCAGAAAAAUGAAACAUAUCAGAUAUAUUUGGCAUGAAUAAGUGAAAUAAAUGUUAGAGGAGAAGUUUAAUUAGAAUUCUUGUUACCUAUUUAAUUUGCAUCUCAAAUCAUGCUAAAACCCUUAAUAUAAUAAUUUAAAAUUUAGGAAAAAAAUAAUUAUUCAAAAUCCAAACAUUGAAGACCAAAAUUGAAAGUUAAAAUUGUUGACUAACGGCAAUUCAAUGUUCACCGUUAGUCAUUGUUCAAUUUCUAUUAAUUGUCUCAAAUUUGCCUAAACUCACAAACUUUGGGGACUAAAUUUAUUUUGACAGAUACACUAGAGACCAAUUGGACACACAUGGCAAAUAUUGGAAACCGAAACUAUAAUUCUCCCCAAUAUUCUCGUGAUCUCUUCCAAUGAACGAAGAAGUUCCCUUUUUAAUCCCCUUUUGUACCAGCUCUUUCCUAACCGUCUCUUCUAUAUAUUUUUUUCUCUAAUUUCCCUUGUUAAUUACGUACCCUAAAAAGAAUUCUUCACUACCUCUUCAACUUUUUUCAUGAUCACUCAGAAAUAACAAGAGAGACUCCCCCCCCCCCCCCCCCACACACUAAUAAAAAAAGACAUAAGAGCGACGAAACAUAACAACAACAAACUCAGAUCCAAUUACUUUGAUCAUGGGAAAGAGGAAGAGAAGAGGGGAUUUGGAGCUUCAACUCCCGGAUGAUAUUCUCUUGAACAUAUUCAAAAGAAUUCCAGCAAAGCCUCUUAUGCGACUCAAGUGCGUUUGUAAGUCUUGGAAAACCCUAAUUUCCAGCCCCUACCUUGCUAAUUUGCACUACAAAGUCUCACAAACUCGGCCCGAUGCCUCCUAUCUUAUAUUCUAUCUUAGAAAAAACUUUUCAACGAUCCGAUCAAUCUUCCCUACAAAUCUUGAAGCCGCCUUGACAGCUGGACUCCCUACUCAUAACUUCCAACAAUCUUCACCAUGCACAGAUAUUGUCAAUGGUCUCAUCUGUUUCUUCGACCGGAAAGAUUAUCAACUUAAGAUGCUGAAUAUUACCACCGGGGAAAAGGUAACGCUUCCUUAUCAGCGUCCACUACAAUUCCGUUAUCCAUCAAUGUUUCUGGGAUUUGAUCCUCAUAGGAAGGAAUAUAAAGUGCUCUGCACUUUGGAUUUCGGCAGGCAAGUUAAGUGGAGGAUUCUUACAAUUGGAACGAAUUUGUGGAGGACGAUGGGCAACAAACCACUACUGGAGAAAUUCAAGAAGGGGACAAUUUGCGUGGAUGGAUGUAUUUAUUGGAAAGAUGAAUUGUUCGUAGAUGGUGAAAGAGCUAUACAAUAUUUUCAUGUUGGGGAGGAGAAGUUUGGGAUGGUUUUUCCUCCCAAAAGGACUAAAAGAAUUCGUCAAGUGACACGGAUUGGAGAUGAUCUUGCCAUCGUAUACAGAAAACCAUUUUGUCAUAAUUUGUUGAAGCUAUGGAUAUUCAACAAGGAGGAUAAAAAUUGGGCCAAGAAUGUAAUCAAAUUGCCAAGAAUUCCAGUUUCCAGACUUGAAGUCAUAGGGACAACGCACAAAACUAGUGAAAUCUUGAUGACUACAAAAUUGGGGUACCAUGACAUGUUGCAGUUAGUAUUUUACAAUCUGGAAACAGAAAAUUUAAGGACCAGCAAUAUUUCUUGUCCUGGGAUGCCUAGCAUAGCAGCUGGUAAUCUCCUUUCCUAUGAUGCAAGUGCUACUGUGAGCAAUCAUGUAGAAAACAUUUUUCCACUGGAAUUUUCAAGCCAAGGAACAGCAUAAAACAAAUGCAGAAAAUAAAGAGGAGAAUAGUAAAUCGUUCCUUGUUACCAUCCUUUAUUAGUUCUUAGUCUUUUAGUUUCCUUCUACUCAGUGCAGUAUUUUGUGUAGUUAAUUUGGUAGCUAUAAACUUUAAUUUUGAUUUUGCUGCUACAAACUUUAAUUUCAUCAUCAUUUGUGGUGUGUUUCCGUUGUAGGAAACAAGUUACUUCGCAAUCCCGCAUCUGGCCUAUUCCCGUCUAGUGCUGGAUCCAAAGUACCCAAUUUGUGUUCCUUGGUAAUGCGAAGUGUUCCUCAAAGAUUUUGGCCCAAUAGAUAGGGUAUGGUAGGACCUUAUUUCAAUCGAUUUCAUAUUUAACCUUUGAUCAUGGAUGAUUACCUUUCGGUUAAUAGUGAAGCACGCGUGGCACAAUUAAUUCAUAAAAUCACUUUGCACCAUGCUGCAGUAUCUUGAUCUUUAAUCUUUGGUUAGUUUGUUUAAAUCAUUCACAAACACAAUUUCCAACAUUUUGCGCAGGAAAGAUGUUGAUUUUCUUCUACCUUCUUUUGUAUAUCUUUUCCAUAUCAGGUUUUUUGCAAAAACCAUUUUAUGAGAGUUGCCAAUAUUGAAUGCUUAAUGAACAUUUUUAAAGAAAUGAAUGAAACAUGAUUCUGCCAAAUGCAUAAGACAACCAUCCAUGAACACUCAGGUAAUCUCAUUUAUUAGAGGAUAGCAACAGCCAAGGUAAAAUCUCUACAUUUAUCUCAUCACGCCGCACAAGCAAGAAAAGCAAAAUCUCUACAUUUAUCUCAUCACAGUUAUGGAAAGAUGAGGACCGAUCAAUUUGAGUACUUAACAACAAUAUCAUGUAAUUUGACAUAGAAAUAAAAGGUCUUAGCUCUGCUGCAUUUGUUUCCUCAAAUUUCCAAGGGGACCGUAAUGUUUUUCAGCUGUAUCCUGCGUCCUGCAUUUGCAGCUACCUAUAUUAAGAUUCGUACCACAUCUGAGGCAUAUGCCUUUACAUUUUGGGUCACAAAUUGCAUCAAUGGUGAUUUCUACAUGCAAUAUAUCUCUUAUAGGCUUCGAAAUGUCAAUUUCUUUAUCUUCUGGAGGAAAAUGCAGCUGAUCAUCAAUAUCAUUAUCUUCGUCUUCCAGUCCAUCAUUAUCAAAUGACCUAAACUUCUCUUCCCCAUAAAUUACACCCAUAUCCAUUGUUUCUGGUUCUUCAAAGGGUUCCUCACUUAGUACAAGUGAGAAAUUGGAAAAAACACUCUUAGCAGCUGAUUCACCACACCUACACGCACAAGACAUACAACUUAGCAAUUGGCAAACGAGAUGAUAAUUAGCAUUUACAGGCAAUUUUUAAUGACAUUCUCCCAUCAAAUGGCUAGGGUAACGUAUCUACAUAAUGGCAAAUGAUAAGCAAAUUCUACAGACAAUUUACAAGCAUUUUCUCAUCAAGUGGCCAGGAUAAAUACACGAAUAUCCCAAGGAAGCUAAAGUAACUUGACUACAGUCCUUAUUAACAGUCUCAUCAAGGCUUCUUGUCACCCCUAGAGAACUGAUGGGGCAGCCACAUACUUUUGAUUCAUCUAAGAUCUGUUUUAGUUAUUAAGUUAUUUAUGCUCUGCCUUCCACCUAACCAUCUUUUGCAGAAACUGCGUGCCAUUUCCUCCUACAAGAUCAGGUUUUUAAUCUGAAUACUUCUGCCGCAACAUAUAAUACAGAGAGACAGACAGACAGACAGACAGAGACAGAUGAAUUGAUCAAACUGCAAUCCAAACCUUCUAAUGGUGAAUAACUUUAAAUAAUCAAUGCUUGCACAGGCCUAAAUUAACACUGCAAUUAAGCAAAUCGAAAAAUUACAUUACAAAUCAACAAUAUCCUAAUCAUAUUACCUUGAAGGAUAUUGUUCCGGCCAAUGCAUCAAGGUCCUCAACCAAUUUUCCCAUCCUAAUCUCAUUCCAAGGAUUCCUAUACUGUUCCCUCAGAAUAUAAUCAGUGGAAAACUUAUACACGAUACUAGUCCUACUCUUUGAUGGAGGCUUAGCAAUCAACUCAUUAGGUGAAGGGGCAUCAGCUGCAACAUUGUUAAGUCUCUCAAAAAUACUAGACCUUGCUUCCCAUAAGGCAUUUGUGACAGGGAAUGGUACAUUCCUGGCCACAAACUAAUAGGUUUCCUCAUUGAAUGGCCUGCAUCAAUUGGUGCAGAAGUCUCAAAUCGUGGACUCAUUGUUGAAUUCACAGGGAUUGAAUCACUAGAACCAAACUCCAUUGGUUUAACAGAAAAGGGGUCUGAUGGUGCUGAUGAGAAUGACCUUUUCUGAGUAAAUUUAUAAAACAUUCGAUCAAAAGAGAUAAUUUUGAACAUGGGUUCUGGUUUCCUGAAUGAAUUAAGAAAACGGGUACAAGAAAUUCCAUCAUUUAGGUGUUUUCCAGAUUGGAUACUGGUGGAGGAAAAGUUAGUCCGAAAUUUCAGGCCUGUAGCUGUAGGAGGCAGAUUUUGGUCAAUAGAUGUGAUUUUGUUAAUGGAUUUUGGCUGUUUUGAUGAACCAGUAAAGUUGGUUUGUGUGAAUUCAUGAUUUAGGGGAGUUAUGGAGGAAGAAGGAAGAGUUUUGGCGUGAUAAAAGUGCAAUCUUGAUGAAGCAAUUGUUCUGUGAAACUCCAUGUUGAGAAAGUAAGAAACCAGUGUGUGGAUUGAUCUUUUACCCACAUCCAUGCUUGAAACAGUUGGGGAGUUUGGUGAUUUGAAGAAGAAAUGAGAGAUUAGCAUGGUUGGACGUUUCAUGGAUUCAAAAGAAAGAUUGAAGCUGAUGACGAUUUCAAGAUUUGUAAGGUUUGAUCGGUCUUGCGUGGAAGUGUUCAAGUGGAAAAUGUUAGCAAAUUAUGGCCAGUUUGGUUCAGACUGGUUGGGCUCUGAGCUCGGUAGCAGAUUGGGAGUAUUUUGCAUAUUCGAAAAAAUGCACUUUUUAUCCCCAAUGUUUGGGGUAUUGGAUAAUUUUAUCCCUAAAGUUUCAGUCAAAACACAUUUCACCCUCUUAAUUUCAUAAUUUCAACCAAUUUCAUCCCUAAAGUUUUAUACAAACAUAUUUCAUCCUCAUAAUUUCAUAAAUUUGAUCAAUUAAAGGCAGUUGAAUGAUUGUUAACCAAUUUGGAUAGAAUAUCAUCACAUGACUAGCAUGUCCAAUUAAUGAUUGAAUAGCUAAUACUUAAUUCGGUCAUUGAUUAAAUUAUUUAAAUAAUAAUGAGUGUAUUGGGUCAAGAGAUUAUUUUUUUAAAUUUAUGAUAUGAUGUAUGUGAAACAAAAAAUAGAUUGGAUGAUAAAUAGACAAUUUGAAAAACAUGUAUAUGAUGCAACAAAAUAAAAUCUUGCAAAUAAAUGACAAUUUAAACAAUUCUUUUGUUCACAUUAGUAUUUUUCUCCAAUUGGUUGCAAUGGGAUUAUUUGAAAAUUUUCUCCAAUUGACUAUAAUGGGAUUGUUUCUUCUCCCCGACUUUAUUUUCUCUCGAUCUUUUUGUUCAAUUUGUGAUUAAGAAGAUAGUAAUGUUGGCUGAAAAUUUGUGAGUUUUUUUAAAUAAGAAAGUGAACUAAAAAAUGAUUUUUGAGAUUUUUGUUAAUCUAUUAUUUUUUUGUAUUUUACUAAUGGGUAUGCUAUGGUCAAAUGAUGAUAUUCCAUUCAAAUUGCUUGACAAUUUAUCAGUUGUCCUUAAUUAGUCAAAUUUAUGAAACUAUGAGGACGAAAUGUGUUUGCACGAAACUUUAGGGACGAAGUUGUCCAAUACCUUAAGUAUUGAGGAUGCAAAGUGCAUUUUUGCCUUGCAUAUUUAUCAAGUUUUACCAUUUUACAUUUUCUGUUCCUAACUUAUUUAUAGCCUUUACACAUAUUCUAUUAAAAUUUUUUUAAUAACUUUUUUGUGUAUAGAAAAAUAAAACAUAUGAAAGUAGUUUUUAGUUUAUAGUUAUAUUAAUUUAAUUUAGUUUAAAUCUAUCAUUUUUCAUUUACUAAAUUCUUGAUAAAGUAUGUUGUUUGUGAAUAUAAUGACCACAAUAGUAGUAAUAAAAAUAGCAAUUAGUAUUUGUAUUUGGAUAAAAAAAAUCACAUAAACCAAGCUAUUAAUGCAACAGUGCAAUCUAUAAAAGGAAAUUGCGUGGAAAAUUUACUUCUAAAGAUCCAUUGUUAUCCCUCCAAUCUCAAAACAAUUAAAUCCGAAAUAUCAAUAAUGUUUUAUAAUUAAUACAUUAGUGUGUCAAAACUAAAGCAAUAGAAAUAGUGAUAGUGUAUCAAUUUGUUUUGUUUAAGUUUGAGGGGAAUUUGUAGCUUAAAAUAAGGAAGAACAAAAAAAAUCAUUUUCUAUACAAUUUUGUAAAGCUUUAAUGUUCUCGAUUCUAAUAGUAGAAAGGAAUUGAUUUGCUUCUAGUUUAUAUGGAGAUUCUUAUUUUAGUUUUCAAUAAAUACCUAGGUAAGUACCAAAAAGGAUAUUAUUCAAGAAAUCACUAUUGUAUUGAUCCCUUUAAUGUCAAGCACUUUUGUAAAAAGAUUUAUGCAAAUUGUUACAUUAUUGUUAAUUUUGCUCUUAUAAUUUGUUUGAAGAUUUUCCCCCUUUGUUUGCCAAUAUUCUACAGCUCUACAUUAAGAAAACUUAUAAAAUGGCAAUAGUGAAAUAAAGAUAUUGGUUAUUAAAAAAAUAUGAAAGUGUAAUGACAUGAAUAUGUGUUAUAACUUCUCAGCAAUGAGUGCCACAAUAACGUUUAGUUGACAUACCAUUAAUGUGCUACGUUCUAAUUUACUGAAUUUGAACCAUUUGAACUUCUACACGAUUUUUUUAAACUAUAGCAUUGCAAUAUUUCUUAUGUUUCUAAACCAAAAAGUAAGUCUUUAAUAAUUCUGAUUUUCUGUUUAAUUAUGAAGUGUUCGAAUUGCAAGCCCUUUUGGGUUUGCCGAUAAAGAUGAGGACAAAAUGAUAACCAAUAUUAGUCCCUACGAAUUUUAGCACAACAAUAAAUAAUUAAUACAAGAAAACAAUUUACAAUAAAUUGAUCAUCAAUGCUUUAGUUAUUUGAGCAAGCUAUGAAAAGUAAAAAUAUAGGUUAGAUGAAUAUAAUUUAUUUAUGGAACCCAUUGAAAUAUUAUAAAUACUGUAAUAUAUAUGUAAUAAUUUCUUCUUCUCACUUUUAUUUUCUAUUUUUCUUCAGUUGUAACUUGCAAAAGUUAAAAGCUAAAGCAAAGUCACCAAAUGCCAAUAUUACCAAGAAGUAGACAAUUUUGUUCACAAUACGAUAAAUAGAAUAGAAUUGAGAAACUUGGAGGGAAAGUGUUGGACCUUUGCACAUAUGAGAUGAAUUUGGCUUUUAUGUUUAACAUCAUUUGUUGCUUUUAUGUUUAACAUCAUAGGGAAUUUUUUGUAUAAUUUAGAUGUUUACUAUGAUAAACAAAUUAGAAAUGAUUUAUGAUAUUGUCAUGAGUUGAAUAAAAUUAGUAUGAAAUAAUAAAACCAAUUAACUUAUGACCAGUAGCUUUCAGGGGUCAAUAAAUAGGUUGAGUUAAUUUUGAAAUUUCCUUGAAUCAUGUGAAGAAGCCUAAGCCCUUACUACUUGGACUAAGCACAAAUAGGGCAAGGGAUGGGAGCUAGAAGGAAAGCAAAAGGAGGAGAAGGGAGGGAGAAGAGUCUAAGUAGUGGUAUAUUGUUUUGGAUAUUUUAUAGAAAAAUGAUUUUUUCCAAUGUUCUUAACAAGCUAUUGUAAUCUUAUAGAUUGUGUUUGAAAAAAAGGAAAAAAAUUGUCCUUACAAACCCCUUAAUUGUUAUAUAUCUCUAGACCUCAAUCUUUUUUUUUUUUGAGAUUUCUGAAUGUUUUAGAUAGCUUAAAAAUGCUUUUAAAUUUUGAAAUCCACCUACAAGAAGUGACUUUAAAUCACGACAUUACUAAAGAAUAGGCAUAAAUAGGGAAUCUCUAAAAUCAAGGAGGUGAAUUAUUGAUCAAGGAGGUGAAUUAUCAUUUAGUUUGAUUCUGUUGCCGUUUAGUUGUAAUCAUAAUGUCGCAUAGUAAAGUAUUUUCUUAAGUUUUGAAGUAGUAAUUGUAACUCAAGAUAAUCUUACUUUUGAAGUUACUUGAGUUAGACACUAUAGGUUUUCAUCUUAUUACAAACUUGACACUCAUAACUUCACAUAAAUUAAUCAGUUCAAUUAUGAUACAGAAAAAAAUUCCAAUAUAUUCUCCUAAUUACAUAAGGCCUGUUUCUAUACACCAAAAAGUUAAAAAAAAAUACACGUUAGCAUUGAUCACGCAUCAAGAAAGUAUCUAGAGACAUCAAUUCUAAGGAAAAGUUUAUGUGUAGACAUUUUAACAUAUACUCAAAAGUGAUGAAACCCCGCUUAAGACUGAGCAUUGGACAACUCUCACUAAAGAAAAGCAUCCAAAAUCAUUUUUAUUUCUCCAUUUUAAACUAAAGCUUAACUUCAAACGGAAGUUAAUUAAUGUUGAGAAAUUCAAGAACGAAAUAAAUGAAAAGAGAAGCAUCUCGAUUUUAUAAACUAUAACUCUAUUUAGAUUGUCUGUUUUUCUCACAAACUAUUUCUUUUGUGGAGGCUACACUAACAUACUCCAAAAAAAAUCGCAAAAACACUUGAUCCAUACAAUUUCAAAUACACUUAACAAAACAAGAACCAAAAUAAAUGGCUAAUUGAUAUGACGACUGUAGCUAAGUCAAAGAUAUGCAUACCCCUUCUAAUUUACGCACUAAGAGAAGCCAUCCAAACUAGAGCAGUAUGUUGUAAAUCAAUAUAACUUUUAAAGUCUCGUGCUUGUAAUGCACUUGAAUUGGCAAUUUUUAAUCAUAAAAGGCAUUCAACAAGCGAUUUUUUAUGCUGCCAGUUAAAGUUUUAUAUCUCAAGUAAAUAACUCACUCUCUAAAAUGACACUUGGUGAUUUUUUAGCAACCAAUCUUCAAAUAGGUGCAUUUUCUCCAAUCUAGACAAUACCUGAUAUGUUCCCACAAGGGUAUCAAUAGAAAUGAUAGAGUAUCUAUCAUGCAAAUCUUGACCAGUUGAUGGAAGAAGAGGGACCACUUUUUCAUCCAACCAUUUCUUCAAUGCUUUUCCAUUUGCAACCUAAUAAAGGCCAAAAACUUCACUGCUCGCAAUUUACAUCGCAAGGAUAUGAAUAAAGACAGUAAAAAUGGCAUACAACUUGUCAAUUUUCCAAAUUUCAAGUCUACAAGUUGCAUGGAAUAAAAUCUCAGUUAAUCACAUAAAAAUUCAUAUUCUAUUUUAUAGAACUUUUAGUAGAUGAUAAGAUCAUUUGAUUCUUCCUAUUCCACUCAGUUCCACUCUAGAAAAUAUAAACAUCUUUAUAAUAUUAAACAUGAAUAAAAAAAGGUUCAAACUAUGUAUCAAUGUCAAAGUGAUUGUCUUAGAUCUUGCUUAUCCCCUUUAUCCCACUAAGCCCCUUCACAUCCUAAUACUAUCUAGAAGUCAAUAAUUUUGUUAGAUACAUCUCACACUAGGCUUAACAAUGUUAGGAAUCAAAAGUGUCCAAACAAGAAAAGGAAGAAAAUUUAAAAAAAUGAAAUAGUCUAUUCCAAUUGUGUUCAGAUAUUUUAAAGAUCUUUAGUUUAAAAAUUAUUUUUACAAGAAAGGAAAGUAUAUGGUGUUUGACCAAAACUAAAAGAAUUGCACAAGCAAAGUUCCAAACACCUAAAUGUAAAGUGAUAAUUGGAAUUUCAAAGAAAAAAAUAUAAGCACCAAUGUAUUAGAAGAAGUAGGGAACAUAGGUACUAGUUCACCACAUAUUUUUUCAUGGCAACUAGGACAUGUUUAGAAGGAAACAAUAUUAGUCCAUGUUUAGAUAGUUCUCAAACCUUUUGCCUUAGAAUUAGUCUGACAACAACUGUAACACCUCGUAAUGCAUCAAAGACAAUAAUAUCAUCUAGAGAAUCUAGUAAGUGCCUUGCAAAAUUUUUUCUUGCCUGAAAUUAUGUCAGAAUGCUUGCUAUUAGUUUGCAAGUUGAAUAAUCACAGACAACCACAAAAGAUACGGCACGAAGAUCUAACACGAAAACAAGAAGAGAAACAUUAUCUUCUCUGCUAAUUUUCUGUAUGUUGGGAGGAGAGCCUUCUCUCCAAAGAUUUGCAUAGGUAAAAUCAAAUAGAUAAGGAAUGCACUUCUCCUUUUUAGAGAAAAUUUACCUCCACGAGAACUUGCUUUCGACCUCUUGUUUUCAAGGUAUGGUCGUGAGUUAGAUACGAUGGAGGAAUAUUAGACUCAAGCUGCCCAAAACUGAUAUUUGAUAUAAUGAUUAUAAUUGAAUGACUGAGAUUCACAUGAUGACCAUCUUUAUCACUUAAUCUUUUGUUAACGAUGUUUGGAAGAAGAGCAUUAACAACAGAUUAAUGGGUCCUUUCAAUUUGUUGAACAAAAUAAGACUAUGCAACUUUUUUCAUAACCUCAGCAAGCCAUAGAAAUCUGCAUCUAGAAUCUUGUCCUUUGAUAUAGUAUAUUAUCAUAGUCAAGAAUAAAUUAGUGGUCAUGACAAAGAGGGACAGAGUAAUACUCUAGACAGUAAUGAAUAUAUCUAGAUAUCUGUCCAUUAGACUGCAUCUUCACAUACUCCGACAUGUCAACUUGAAUCAGCAUCUAGCGUCAUCGAAGAUUACCUUAACAAUGCAUUUGUCUACUUCUGUCUUGCCAAUACUAGAAAGGCCAGCAAGAGCAACGAGACCCAAAGGUGGUUAUACAAGGAUAUAGGGUCAAGAGAAAGUCUCCUGGGACUAAAAAAUGAUCUCACAAUAGAAUCAAGGAUAGAGCCCUAAUUGCCAAUCCUCCUAAACAAUUUUUCUUUCAAAUGCGAGAUUUGUACCUAGCCAAAAGUAGGUUGCACAGGGAUAGAGAUACAAUAGAUUGACUCACUACUUACAGGUGACAUAACAAGACAAAAAUGUAAAUGAUAUUGUAGUGUCACACAAAGAACGCGAAUCAUGCAAUGCCAUGAAGUUGAUAAAAAAUAACUUCAUGGACAAAUGUGUCUUAACUAGUCAAAGUAGAAAGAGGAAAGAUAGCUAGGCAAGGAGAAAAAAGGUACCUCUAUAACAUGAUGCGGACGUACAGCCAUAUAUUUAUUAGUCAAGUAAUUACGAAGAGUUUACUCUAUCCUGAUAGCAAGGCAUCCAACUCCUGGAUUGCCUGGUAGCGUAUAGAAAAAUCUUUUUCCAUUAGAUUCAUUAAAGAGAAACAGGCAGGUAAAUAAAAAAAACUUCUGAACAAUUUCAUGGCCAGAGAUCCCAAUUGAGAUUGAUUUUUCUCAAGUUCAAGCAAAGCAAGCCUCCACCUGUUGAUAAACUUUAUCAAUAUGUUUUAAUAUUUUCACGUGAUUCAAGUUGACUUGGGCAAGCCACGGGUCAUGGGGUUUUUCUUGUGCAAUUCAGAAUACUCAAACAAACAACACGAGAUAAUAUAUUUCAUUUCAUCCAACUUCUUCUCAUCAGUGCAGUAAUUUAUUUCAUCCUAUUGGACUUUUAUAACCUUUGCAAAUCCAGUACUCAUAUAAGAGAGUGUCUCUAUAGACUUUAUCAUAGAGUUGCCAAGAUCAAAAGGGUGCACAAGCAUACUUGCGGUCGUGGAUCAAUUGUGCAAGUAUGUAGUAUUCAUUUUCCUCCAAAAGAGUGCAUAGUAGAAAUGAUGAUGAAACUAUUCAUGGGACACAUCAUCAAAUAUUGAAGUUUGCUAGCGUCUAUAGUGAGUAACCGAAACUCACGUGUUGUGGGUAGAUUCUGGACGGAACUGUUCUAUUUGAUAGGGUUGGAACUCAACAUGUCAACAAAUGAUGCAUAAAUAGAUUGGCAGAUAGAAUGAGUCAAUAAUAUGCUAAAAGUGUAGCUCCGACACUAUGUAGUUGUGAAUUGAGCCGACUGGACAAAAUGAUAGAUAUUGCCCAAUUUUGCAUCAAUCUGCAAUAAAAUGAGAGUAUUGGUAAAAGUUCGUUUGAAACCUAUUAGAUUUUCAUCCGAUUGAUAGUAAGUACAAGGAUCCAAAACUUCCCGCAUUUAGAUUUACCAAGGAUUGGUAAGAACGAGUGACAAUGGCCAAGUUGUACUUGGAGAAAAUCAAUAGCGGAUGAAAAAGUAGGUUGAUUUUGAACGUACAUUUCGCGAGUUCAAGAAGGAAGACCAAGUGUUGAUAAAGCUUUUCAAACACAGAUGCAUUUUUGGGGUGCAUGUGGGUCUCAUGUGGCUAUAUAAAGGAUUGCUUACCAUACUAAAGAAAAUUAGAAAUAUCAUCUACAAAGUGGAGUUGUUUAAUGCUCUAUUCCAACUUCACCCUAUCUUUUAUGUUAGUAUACUCAAAUCAUUCUACAAGGACCUGCAUAACCCAUCAAGGAAUGCGUCAAUAAGGCACACGUAGAUUGUUAGGGGAGAGCACGAUAAGGUCACUAAUGAGAUUCUAUUUGAUUGUAUUAUUCAUCACAAGAACUAUGCACUAUUGAUAGAGUAUUUGAUGCGAUGACGUGAUCUACUGGAGAUCAAGAUAAGUUGGGAGUCGGCUGAAAAUUUAUGGUAGUUUGUGGAGAUUGUAUAAGCAUGUAAAGACCCUAGAUGUCUUAUUUAAGUGAGGGAGGAUAACAUGUCCGCACAUAUUCGUCCUGCAACCGGCCAGACAUGUAUUACUACUUAUAAGAGAAUUAGUAAAAAAUUACGAUCGGUAAUAAAGACGUAGUCUUCUACAGUGAACAAAUAGAAGGUCAUGAAGACUUUUUAAAAUUUUUGGUAGGUUGUAACAAGUUUUAGAAACUUUUGAAGUGUUCUAAGCUAUUUAAGAAUCUUGAAAAAUAGUCUAGAAUUUAUAUAUAAGAGACUUGUUUUUCUGUAAAAAUGUUCUAAAGACUAAGUGUAAAGAGUUAGGGGGUGCUUGUUUCACAGAUUGGAAUCAAAAAUAGAAAUGGAAUCAUGAACUCUGGUUUUGAAAUUAAACUUUUCAUUCCAAUAUCUUAGUUUGGUUCACACACUGGAAUUAGUAUCAUUCCAAUUCCUGAUGCUUGGUUUGAUGAGUGUUUCAGAAAUAAAUGCAAUUAAAUUUCAAAUUUACUUUUGACAUAAAAAUUAUUAUAAAAUAAAAAAUACACAUACAACAAAUUAACAUCUCCAUAAUUGUAACUACAAUAGUUAGUUGAUUUUUGAUAAAAGUUAAGAAAAUCAUAAACCAUAAGAAAAAUUAACACCAAAAAAUAUAUAUAGUGACUGUAUUAACAAGUUGUUUGUGGUUCCUAUAUUAGACAAUGAUAUGAAAUAGAAGAUCUCUCCUUACAUAUAUGAACAAAGAAGGAGACUUAAAUAAAAAAAUCUAACCAUGCAAAAUACAAACCAAUGGUCUAAACCAGUCAAGAGUGCCACUCAAUAUCCACAAUCUCCAAAAGACUAAUAAUAUAACCAUCUAACAACCACCAUAACAAAAAGAAAUUGCCACCAAAUCAUCACUUUUCAACUAGCAAUAAUUUUUACUUUAGUGAGUAGAUGGAGGAUAAAUGAGGUUAAUUACAUAUUGUCGUCUCAUUUCUGUAGGAAGAUUGUAGAACACAUGAAGCUUGGAAAUCAGCUCCGAAAGUAUGUUGGCUGUAUUCAUUACAUCUUUAUUUGAUAAAACAAGUUUCAAUAACUUAGCAACAACUUGAUCUCUUCUAUUGGAGACCAGUUGUUCAUGUUUACCCUCAUUUGACAUGGCUGUUGCCAUAGUUGUGAAAUUAAUUUGAAUUUUCCUCACAAAAUCUCCAAAUUUAUUGGUGAUAAGUUGCAAUGAUGCAUCAAGAUCACCCUUAGCUUGUUGUUAAUGAAGAUUUCAUUUUUUUGACAUAUUUGCAAAGGAAGGUGAUUGUUUCUUUGCGCAUUAAAGUAAAGAGAGUUAGUCUAACAUAUGCUUCAAUAAUGACAAUUAUUGAAUAAUGAAUAUUAUUAAAAAACAUUAAUGCCUUUGAAUAUUCAAAGACGUAAUGCUUCAAAGAGAACUAAUUGCUCUAAAAAGAUUCAAAAGGUGGUGGCUUCAGAAAUAAAUAACAAUGAUCAAAUAGUCUACAUAAAUAGUGUAAGCAUUUAAGGUUCAAGAACAAGACCACAACCAUUUUUCAUAUUCUGUGCAAGCAUUCUUUGUCUUACUGACCACAUAUGCAUUUGAUUUUGAGGUCUUCUUAAAAAGCAGAAAGUCAGCAAAGCAAUCUUAAUUAUUAUGUUAAAAAUUACUAUAAUGUAGCAAGGUAUUUAGUAGGAGGUGAUGGUUUUGCAACGUGUGUGGAUCAGCAAAUUCUUUAUCAAUUUCUGAUCAAUCCAAGCAAAUUCACACUGGUUGAUCAAGGGGUAAAAGGAUCGAGUAAUUCACAAGUUUUAACGUCAUAUGAAAGCAUCUAUUAAUUAACGUAUCUUAAAACAACUUAAGACUAAUAUUAAUGAGUCAGACAUAGAAUUGGACAUCAAACUUGCCAGAAACAAGGGGAAGACCAUGAAGUAGAAAAGUUUGUGAGAAACUUAUAGAGUAAGAGGACUAAAAAAUUGGAAAAAGAAGCAUUCCAAUAACCCUAUAGAAAAAAAAGGAACCAAUACUAUGAUUUUCCUGUAUAUAUCAUUCUUUGUCCCCUCCAAAAACAUUGAAAGAUGUAAACAAGUUCAUUUCUGAGCAGCUGAGAAAUUAGUAAAAACUUAUAUAUUAUUAUUAUUGAUUUUAAUUAUAGGAGACAUUUGAGAGAAUACAUACCUCAGAAUCCUUGGAUUUGGGUUUAGGGUUUUCUUUUUCAGUUUUUCUUGGAGAUCUUGUUGAACAAUUUGUCUACUCAAGAUAUUUGUCUACUGUUUACCCAUUUAGAUUUACUUUAAAUCUUUUUUUAAAGAGAUUUUGGAUAAAAGAUGAAGAAUAUAUGGAUGAUAAAAAAACUGAUGAAAAAAAACAAGAGAGUGAGAGGGUGUGUGAUAGAAAGAGAGAGAGAGCAGAGGCAUUAAUUGUAUGUGAUGGGUAGGUCUGUCCAUAAAUGUUAUGAAGGAAUAGUUUGAGGAUUUUUCCAAAACCCUCAAUUUGUUUUGGAAUGAGAGAAGUCCGUUUUUUAGAAAUGAUUCCAAAAAAUGCAUUUCAAUAGGUUUAGCCCAAGCAACAAAUAAGAGAUUUAUUCCUUCCGCGAUUCCCAAACCCUUUAACCAAGUGGCCCUUUAGUGUAUAAAAGUUUCUAAAAUAAGUUAAUAUUUCUUGACUUGUCUAUAAAUAGGCCAAGCCUUUCUCAUUUGUAAAUUAUUAUAUAAGUCCUUGAGUGCAAUAUAAAACUUUUCUUUAACCUCUAAAUGUUUAUUCAUCUUUUGCUUCUACAUAAUUGCGCACUUGAGAGUUAGGCUAAAUUAACAAUCAUUUAAUUUGUAGAUUAAAUCUAGAAACUUGCUAUGCCGUACGAGCAUUAUGCUAAUAGAGAUUUUAGCCAAUCUGUAACACAUGGGAGGCCUUGAUCAUAAUCAUAUACUGUAUAGUUAUGAUUAGCGAUCGAAUCCCCACAACUUAAGCACUUUCUUAGAUUCUGCAUGAUCGACCAACAAAGGCUGCUACUAUGAAAAUCAUGGCCGUACUCGACGAGUGUUAUGACGUGAUUCUCAAGUUUAAAAGCAACCAUACAUAUGCCAUAAACCAUUGGGUUUACUAUUAUGGGUUGAAAUUGAGCAUUCUCUUGGCCAACUUGCAUAAUUUCCUCAUUUCAGUAGCUAUUAUUUCCAAGUGCUCCUCCGCAUCAACUUCUCCCUCAAUAGUAGUAGUAAGCAAGUCCUCAAUAUCAUCAAAAUGCUCAUGGUCCUCGCUGUUGUCAUCAUUACUGCUACUAUUGAUACCAAUCUCUUUAUAUUCAUUCUCAUUGUGCUUCUUAUCAGUGCAAAACAUUGUGAUGAAUGAGAGUUUGGAAUCACUGCUAACAACUACUCAGCGGGACUGAUGACAAAGGGGGAAUUUAGGAAUCACUUCUCAAUGUGUUUCCUACAGUAGUGACAACGCAUGCCCAAGAUAGGAAGUGAACUAUCGCAAUAAUAUUUGUGCAAGUGAUGUAAAUAGGGGAGCGACAAAACCACAAAAUCACCAUAUUCGUACUCAAUAUGAUAUAUUGCACACAUUCCCUGAUUUUCAACCAUUUCUAAUGAAAAAUUAUAAAGAUUUGUUUUUGCCUUCAAUGACAUGUCAUCAUGGCUACCAAAUAAUGUUCUAAAAGCAGUAAAGGUGACUUCUUCAAACUCGUCGUCAUAGAUGGAUGGUAAGUUCAUGAGAUUCUCCAUGGGGAAGGGUGAAUAAGAGAAAAAAAAUUCAAACUUUAGCUUCAAUAAAAAAUCCAACUUUACCUAAAAAAUUACAAUUUUGAGGUACGUAAAAGUAACUUGAUAGACUAUAGUUAGAUAUUUCUAGUUGGAAGAGGAGAUUGGAUAAUGGUGUGUUUGAUCUGUACACUAGAGUUGAAGAAGAGACCAUAUGGAGCACUUGUUCAGACCCCAACUACACGAAAUCGAAAUGGAAAGCUUGCUCUAUUUGAAAAUUUGGCUGAGUACUGCUUAUAAAUAUUACUAGUAUAGUAUUGCUGCUCUUGAGUUGCACAUUAGCCUCAAAUUUUUAUAAUUUUUUAAUUUAGUGCUUAAAGUCUUUGUAGUUGACUAUUGUUGUGAUGAUGGGUUUAAAAUUAUAUACAUAACAUAUUCUCUAAUGAGUCUCAUAGAUGAAAGUUUAAACUAUGCUUAUGAUCCUAUUUAGCAAAUGAAUUUUUUAGGUAUUUAUUUAAAACUUUAUUGUAUCUUCUGUGAAGUUGUAGAUGAAAUUUUUGAAAUGUGUAAUUUUUGGAUAUUUUGAAAAGUACAGUUUAAAAACUUUGAAAUUUUUUUUUGAGAUUACUAUAGACAAAAUUGUUAAAAAACUUGUAACAGAUAAAUUUGACCAAAAACUUGUUUGCCAAACAGGCCUUAUGUAAAAAGGACAAGUAAUAAGCUAGAAAAAAACUCAUUUAUAAAAAAAGAAAAAUGAAGGUGCAAAUGUUUCUUAUAGAGCAAUUAAAAUAAUAUUACCUAAUCUUUUGGUCUUACAAGCUUAUGUGCUUGCAAUCCCACCAAAACAAGGAUAUAAUACGUAAAUAAGAAAAUUUCAAAUUAACGUUACGUGAUGAAAUAAUAGUUAAUCAAUUUACAAUUAUAGGGUUAAUUAAUCAUUUAAUACCCAAAAAUAGACCAUUGGUGGGUUGCAAAACCAAAACAUAGACCGUCAAGAGGUCGCACAUGUACUUAUUUUCAAUAUUAGGGGUCGAAGACUUUGAAACUUGUUGAAUUGGUGUUUAAGAGGUCUAAUUUAUUAUAUUUACCCUUGAAAUAUACUGUUGUGUGCAUGUUAAAUUAAUCUUUUAAAAAUUCUACACUCGACAAAAUGGACGAUUUGAUUUGCGGUGUACUACUGGUAGAUUUUUUUUAAAAGUGAUCAAAAAUUCCAACUUAGUCCCACUUAAAGUGAGAAUAUUAUUCGAGAACGCAUUAGCAAGUUUGUUUACAAACAGCAAAAUGAACCAUGAAGCAUUAGUUUGUUUAUAGCAAAAUAAUAAGAUAUAAUAGUUAGUUUGGAGAGAGAGAGAGAUAGAGAGAGAGAGAGAGAUUAGGUUAUUAUGAGCCUAUAUGCUUUUCUCGCAUAAAUGAUUUCGUAUUUUUUUUCAAAAACAAAAGGUAUUUCAUAUAAUGAAAAUAAAGUAAUAUAAUUUUUUUAUGUCAAUGAAAGAAAAUGCGGCGCUGAUGAGAAGAGGUUCGAUGAGAUUGAAUAUAUUGCCUCACAUUGUUUGUUUGAGCAUUCUGAAUUGUUUAGGGAGGACCCCAGUGACCCAUGGCUUGCUCGAGUCAGCUUGGAACACGCCAAAACAUCAACAAGUAGAAACUUGCUUUGCUUGAAGCUGAGAAGAAACAAUCUCAAUCGGGAUCUCUAGCCAUGAAAUUAUUCCAAAAGUGUUUAUUGCUUUACCUGCCUGUUCCUCUUCGGUGAACCUAAACGAAGAAGAUUUCUGUGUGCCCUACCAGGCAAUCCAUGAGUUGGAUGUCUUUGCUACUAGGAUAGAGUAAGUUCUUCCUACUAACUUGAUUGAUGAAUAUAUGAUUGCAUGUCUGGAUCAUAUCGUAGAGGUACCUUUUUCUUCUCCUCUAGCUACCUUUCCUCUUUUUGUUUUGAUUCGUUAAGACAUAUUUAUCCAUGAAGUUGUCUUUCAUGGGCAUUGCAUGAUUUGCAUUCUUUGUGCGGUACUAAAACAUUAUUUAUGUGUCUAUCUUGUUAUGACAUCUGUAGGUGGUGAGUCAAUCUACUGGUAUCCCUAUACCCGUGCUGCCUGCUUUUGAUUCGGUGCAGAUCUCACACUUGGAAGUAAAAUUGCUUGGGAGGAUCGGUGGUCAGGACCCUACCCUUGAUGCUAUUGUGAGAUCAUUUUUUAGUCGCGAGAGGCUCCCUCUUGACCGUACAUGCUUGCGUAACUACCCUUAAGUCUCGUUGCUCUUUUUGGCCCUUUUUGGUGUUGGUAAGAUAGAAGUAACCAAAAUGCAUUAUCGAGGUAUUUUUUAGUGAUGUUAGCAGGUUGAUUUAAGUUGACAUAUCAGAGUAUGCGGAGGUGCAGUCUAUUGGAAAGAGCUCUAGAUAUAUCCGUUGUUGCCUGGAGUAUUGCUAUGUCUCGCUUCGCCAUGACCAUUAACUUUUUUUAACUCUAAUAAUAUACUAGGUCAAAGGAUGAGAUUCUAGAUGUAGGCUUUCUAUGGCUUGCUGAGGCCAUAAGGGAGAAGCCACAUAGUCUUAUUCUGCUCGACAAAAUUGAAAGUGCCUAUCAAUCUGUUGUUGAUGCACUUCUUCUAAAUAUCAUUAAUGGAAGAUUAAGCGAUAAAGAUGGUCAUCAUGUGAAUCUUAGUCACUCAACCAUAAUAAUAACACCAAAUAUCGAUUCUGAGCAGCUUGGGUCUAAUGUUCCUCCAUCAUAUCCAACUCACGACCAUACAUUAAAAGCAAGAGGUCAAGAGCAGGUUCUCUAGGAGGUAUAUUUCUUCUAAAAAGGAGAAGUGUAUUCCUUAUCUGUUUGAUUUUACCUGUGCAAAUCUUUGGAAAGAAGGUUUCGCUCCCAACAUACCACAGAAAAUUAGCAGGGAAAAUAAUUUUCUCUUCUUAUUCUCGUGUUUGAUCUACAUGAUGUAUCUCCUGUGGUUGUCUGUGAUUAUUUGAUUUGUGAACUAAUGGCAGACAUUUUGACAUUAUUUCAGGCAAAAAUUUUUUUUGCAAGGCACUUGCUAGAUUCUCUAGAUGAUGUUAUUGUCUUUGAUGCAUUAUGAGGUGUUACAGAUGUUUCUAGAUUAAUUCUGAGGCAAAAGGCUCGAGAACUCUCCGAACAUGGACUAAUAUUGUUUUCUUCUAAACUUGUUCUGAUUGCUAUAGGAAAAUAUGUAGUGAGUCAGUGCUUAUGUUCCCCUGCUUCUUCUAAUAUAUUGGUGUUUAUGUUUUUUUUUCUUUUUCCUAUAAAAUUCUAGUUAUGCACUUUACAUUUGGGUGUUUGGAACUUUGCUUGUGCAGUUCUUUUAGUUUUGAUCAAACAAUAUUCUCUUUUCCUAUGCUGUAAAAAUAACUUUUAAGUUGAAAAUCUUUAAAAUAUCUGAACAAAGUUGGAAUAGAAGAUUUCAUUUUUGUUUAAUUUGAUUCCUCUUCUUGUUUGAACACUUUUGAUUCCUGAUAUUGUUAGACCUAGUGCGAGAUGCAUCUAAUAGUAUUAUUGACUUCUAGACAGUAUUAGGGUGUGAAUGGGACUUGGUGGAAUGGAGGGGAUAAGCAGGGUUUGAAUGAAUCACUUUGAUAUUGAUAGGAAGUUUGAACGCUCUUUAUUCAAGUUUAAUAUUAUUAAAGAUGUUUUUUUUCUUCCCUAUCUUCUUCUGACCCUUAAAUAGCUACCCUUGAUCGUACCUUUUGACACCUUUUCUUUCUCCUUAUCUCUCUUCUACUUUCGAAAAUGGCCAGAAAAAAAUAAAAAAAAAAAAAGAAAUCAAAAAAGAAGAGAAGAUAUGUGGAAUCUGCCAACUGUCAAUAGAAAUUUUGUGGUAUUUGCAAUAUCUAAAGUGAACCAACCGCCUGACUAUCUUAGGUUCUCUGAACGGGAAGAAGCAGAACAAAAUGAAAGAUGGGAAAUGCAGGAUUUCUGUAGGUUGUGGAAAAAAACUUGAUGAUGGUGAGAAAUAAAUACUUGCGGAGUUAACGAUCAUUAUGGUCUCAAAGUUCCCCAGUUUCUGGAUCAACAUACAUCCAGGCUGCAUCUGGCACACUGCAAAUAAGUGGACAAUCUCAGAAAUUAGACGCAUAAAAAUAGUGAUUUUGGAAUUGGCGAAUCAACUAUCAACUUUAGUCAGGUGGACUUUACUCCUCAAUGCUUGUCGAGGCAUUCCUUGGGACUUUGUCCUGUAAUUAGAAUAGUAACAAUUGAUUAUUCAAAAAAUAGUCGCAAAAUAAAAAAUAAAUCUAGGGUUUUAAUCAACCAAUUUUUUUGGUAGGGCAGUUGUUAAUGUGAUUCAUUAUCAUAGUGAGCGUGUCAACAUAAAAAAAUAUUAUUAAAGAUGUUGACAUUUUCUAGAAUGGAGUUGAGUGGAAUAGGAAGAAGCAAAUGGUUUUAUAUUCUACUAAAGUUCUAUAAAAUGGAAUAUGAAUUUUUUAUAUGAUUAGUUGGAGUUUUGUUCCUUUCAACUAGUAGACCAGAAUUUGGAAAACCCAUAUAUUGUAUGCCAUUUUUUCUGCCUUUAUCCAUAUCCUUGCGAUGCAAAUUGCGACCAUUGAAGUUUUUGGCUUUUAUUAGGUUGCAGAUAGAAAAGCAUUCAAGAAAAGGUUGGAUGAAAAAGUGGUUCCUCUUAUUCCUUCCACUGACUAAGAUUUUGGUAAUAAAUACUCCAUCAUUUCUAUUGAUACCUUUGUAGCAACAUAUGAGUUAUCUUCUAAAUCGGAGAAAAUGCACUUAUUUGAAGGUUGGUUGCUAAAAGAUCACAAAGUGUCAUCUAAGAGAUUGAGAGUUAUUUGCUUGAGGUAUAAAACUUUAGUUGACAGGAUUUUCCAACUAAGAAGUAUACUCUCUUGCUUGUUGAAUGCCUUUCAUGAUUACAAUUUGCCAAUUCAAGUGCAUUACAAGCACGAGGCCUUAAAAGUUCUAUUGAUUUACAAUACACUGCUCCAGUCUAGAUGGCUUCUCUCAGUGUGUAAAUUAGUACAGGUAUGCAUUUCUAUGGUUAGUUAUUAAUCGUCAUAUUAGUUAGCCUUGUUAAUAUAAGAUCUGAGUCUCUUAUGCAUUAUUUUAAGGGAAUAUCAAGCUAAACUAAACAGAAGGGUAUAUGUUCAGAAUCUUGGAGCAAUAUAGCUAGAGAGAGGCCUCAAUCAAGUAGCUGAUGCUGUUAUGAGAUCCAUGCAUUUGUCAUCAGACCUUCAUUCUAAGCCUGCUCGAGCUCUUCUCUUAAUGGGUUUGACUGAUACUGGCAAAGCCGAACUUGUAGACAUGCUCAAGAAUGACCUAAUACCUGAUAAUGGGGAAUUUUUGCUUAUUCAAGUGAAAUUUUCAGAUUACAUUAACAACAUACUGCAGCUAUUUAUGUUUUCUUCAAGAUACUAUUAUUGUUGGCUAUACCUUUUCUAUUUGUUCUAAUUUGUUUAAGAUGUAUGUGUUGGGGUUUUAUUCAAUCUUUGACCUUUAACAUGCAGUUCCAGUAUUUCUGAAGACAACAACCACAAGAUCCUGGAGGCUAUUGAAAUUUCCCAUAUCGCAUUAUUCUCUGACUUAAUAGAGAAUACCAAUGCAUUUUGCUUUAGCACUUUGCUUAAGAUCUUGUACACUGGUAUGUGGAGCGUUGGCCUAUACAUGAUGAUUGACUUUAGGCAUUCCAUCAUCCUCAUUACAAUGCAGCAGUUAGGGAACAAAGAGAAAAUAACUAAGCUAUUUAGUUUUCUUCCACUGUGAAAAAUUUAGAUGGCACAAAAAAGAUACGUCAGGGAAAUCCAGUUAAUUGAUUGUAAAGUUUUCUCAGUUGAUGUUUACUAGUUUUCUACCCAUCUUGUGGCUUGUCUACAACUUGAUUGAUUUCAGUUGUCAAUGAUGACUUGAUUAUCUUAAAUUGCAUGUGGCUACUAGAUUUUAGCCACAAUUGAUGCUAUACUAUAUCCUUCUCAUUUGUUGACAGGAAGCAAGACAUUUUAGGAUGGAAUUACUGAACAGACUGGAUAAUAUUUUCUAUCUUCAAUCCUACAUCACUGGAUCAGAGGAAAAUCUAUGAAUUAAACUUAAAAUGCAAUUCUUUUGGUCAAAGGUGUGCCAGCUGAUUUAUGAUACUUGCUCUUCCAUCUAUUUAAGGAUUAUGCAAGUGUUGAACCAAGUUUUAAUUCUUCAUUUGAAGUUAAGUUCUAUGGUUAACAGUAUGUGAAUGAUAGACUGCAAUUUAUCUAUUUAUUUUAUUAUCAUUUUCCCCUAUUACCUGACUUGAUGUGGAUUAAUUGUUGGAUUCUACUCAUUUUUCUUAAUUUACGUAUAUUUCAGGGAGUAGAACGAAAAUAUGAUAAGAGGUGCCAAAUUGACAGGAAAAGAAUUCAGAUCAUAAAGCUUGUCGCAGGGCACUUUUGGAAAGAAAGAGGUCACGCCCAUUUUGGUAAUUUUCGCAAGGGAAUGACGGACGGAGGGCUUCACUUCGUGUGGAGGUUCCGCCGCAAUUAAAAAGAAAAAAUGCAGAGGAAAAGGAUGGCUGAUUUUUGGAGAGUUUUCCGUCUGUAGCUUAGCUUGAGAUUGUUGACUUUUCCUUGAGCUUGGUUGUUUUUACUUUUCUUACGCAUGGCAGAUGGUUGAAAAACUUAUUCCUCCAUCUUUGACUUUUCUUCUUUAGCUUGAGGUAGUAGAUUGCUACAUACGAAUGUCAGCACUUAGCCACUUGUGGCUUUUGAUCUUUCUUCUUUAGAAAUUUAGGGUAGUCUUUCCUUCAUUGCUGUGCACCAAACGGAGUGAAAACUAUGAACCUUCUGUAGCUUUUCUAUUUAUUCAGUAGUCGGACGAAUUGGAUUUUGCCAAGUUUAAACGAACAUGGCCGCUAGUUUCUUUUCAAUUUCCCGUGGAUUUAGUUCAUCAAUUAUGAGCUAAUUUUCCAAUCCUAGUCAAGGAGCAACGAAGGCUCUGGCUCGUCUAAAAAUUGUGAGAUCGAUUUAAUUUAAUCUUUCGCCUAAAAGUUGGGUGCAGUUGUGCAUUUAAUUGGCCAUCUGGAACCACUGCAGUCGUUUGUUAACGUGGGAGGUCUAUUUUGCUUGCAUUGCUGGAGGAAUUGUUGAGGUUUUGUAGGGGGUUUUUGCUUCAGUUACUUCUGAUAUUGCAUAUUGGGCUGCAAUCUUGUGCAGUUUGACUUACUUUGCCAGUUUGGAAUUGUAUACUCUAUUGUGACUGCUGCAUUGGAGGCCAUAGGGGGCAUUUGCUCUGCUCUUUUAUAGCUAUUUCAUUAAUUGGCCUGCUUGUUGAAAAUUUUGGAUGCACCACGUUUGCUGGUCAAUUUAGUGACUUGGAUAAUCCCUAUGCUUAUUGAAUAAAUUCUGCCAGUUGCUAGUUGUGGUUAGUAGUUGGGGAUCCUGUGGUUAUUGAGAGCCACCGUUGCUUUGCUGGGGAACUGGUUUAAAUUGUGGGUGACUCUAUUGUCCAUUUGCUGGUUGAUUAAAUCAGUAAUUGCUGAUUACACUUAGCAUUCGAAAUCCUGUAUCUUGUUGUUCCAGCUGAUUGUUGGGGGACAUGGUGAGACCAAAGUCAUCCUCUAGGUCUAGGGCCUCUCGUUCUCAACCCCCUCCACAAGCCUCUAUUCCAGUCAACUCACCUACUAACCUACCCUCUUCUUCUAGUGUUCGAACCCGUUUGGGUAGGGGUAGGGGUGCGCAGGUAGAUACCCCAACUCACUUUGGGGGGCACCUAACCUUCACUAGACCCGCCGAUCAGGAGCGAUAUGCUAAGGUCUGCGAGCGGUGGAUUACACCAAGCAAGACUUGGGAAAAAUUAACUGUCAUGGGUCUAGGCAUACGAGAGGAGGUCGAGCAGAUGUUUACAGCCAUCGGGUGGCGCUCAUAUCUCGGUAUCUUAUGCCCCGCCUUUGUCGAGCUGAUUCGGGAGUUUUACUCCACCUUUGAGUUCGAGUUACCUACGAGAUACACCGUUGACACACCACAGGUCAUUCAUUUCCGGCUCAUGGGUCAAGAGUUCAAUUUCUCCAUUACCCAAUUCAAUCGGGCAUUUGGGUUUAUCACUAGAGAGUAUGCUGGGACUAGGGAGUAUGCAGAGAGUGCUUGUGACUACGUAGAGCCGUUCCUCUCCACUACCAUGAUGUGUGGGAAGACAUGUCCGUCGAUCAGCAGCGCUACGAUCCUUCCCGGUCUAGGAGCUCAUUUCUUAAGAACCUUAGUGCCCGCUAUGUUCAGCGUUUCUUAGCCUACAGCUACUCGGAGCGCAAGGACAGCUCUGGCAUACUCUCUCGCCCUGAGUUCUUCUUCCUCUGGAGUAUGAAGAACAAUAUCAAGGUUAACUUGGGGUGUUGGUUGGCCGCAUAGUUCAAGACCGUCUUGGCAAAAAAGAACAAACCCCUUAUCCUUGGGUCCUAUAUCACUCACUUGGCAAUACAGUUGGGAGUUCUUAACCUGGAGGACCACGACUUACAUUUGGCGUGCUAGAUGGAGCUCUUGGACGUAGAUUGCUUGGAGAAGAUGGGAGUCGUCGAGCACCUGCCUGAUGGUUCCUACCAGUUCACCCCUCCUGGACCACCUAGAGCUCCGGGUGCGCAUCAUUCGUCCCGGGCAGGGCCCUCCUCCUUUCCUGGAUCAGCCGAGGACACAGUUGGGCCAUCUUCUUCUGCGCCACCUCCACCGCAUGGGACUACUGAAUGGCAGCAACUCCGGGGCCAAGUUCAGGCUUUGGAGGCUCGGAUGGUCAACGUUGACGCCAAUGUUGCCGGCAUGGCACAGAAUUUGGCGCAGUUUCUGAUGCAUACAGGCUUUGCACCUCCGUUUCCACCUCGCCCUCCGCUAUGACCCGAUUUCAAGGAAGUUUGGCUGAUUCCCCUCUCACUUUUGCUUCACUUUUGGUUUUUAUUUGUCACAUUGGGGACAAUGUGUCCUAUAGGUGUGGGGGGGGGGAUCUAAGGGGAUGCUAGUGUUUUCCGUUUUAGUAAAAAAAAAUGUAAGUUUCUAGUUUUUAGUAGUUUUUCUUAGUUUUAUUUCUAGUUGCUCGUUUUCGUUCUUUCUUCUUGGUGCUUACCUUUCAUGUGAAUGCUAAAAUUGAGAUGUGGACUUAUUGACUCCAAGUCUACUUUUGCCAAGUUUUUAAAAUACAAAGGUAUCGGGUUGAUGUGGUUGGAUCCGAGAUAUCUCCUUGGUGAAUAUCGGAUUGAUUGGCUCUUUUGAUUUCUGUGUUAACUUUUCUAGGCGUUGGGAAUGACUGUUGGCAUUUUAAUGUGAACUGGUCCAGUAUUGACUCCAGUUCUCUAUGUUUGGCAAUAAUGAGGCAAGCUGCACCUAUUGUUGGUUCUCAGUGUUGUUAUUAUGUGUUUUUGGAUUCGUUUGGCUGUGAAUAACCUGGACUGUACUCCGCUAUGAACUACUACUGAGUAACCGGGGAUCUGCACCUAAAAGUGUCGAUUCUCGCGUCAAAAGGUGGUACUUUAUAUGAGUACGUGGUCGUAUAGCGGUAGGAGCUGAGUAACCGGGCUCCUUCAUCUAAAAAUGUUGGAGUUCGCGUCAAAAGGCUCCGACGGCUAACGACUAUGUCUUUUUGUGUUAAUUAUUAUUGCUUUGCCAAGUUCCUUCAAAAAAAAAAAAAAAAAAGAGAGAGAGAAUAAAUAAUGGGAAGGCUUGCCGGUUUAUGGACUUAAUAUAGAGACUUGUGUGAAUAUUUGGACCAUUAGCUGAUAAAUGUUGUGCGCCAUUCCCUUUUCUUAGAGUAGUUAACCUGGAAAUUGGAGAAAUUUGCAGUUGAGGGGCUAACUGGGGGGAGGCUUCUUGGAUUUUAAUCACCAAUGCUCGAUAUAUGUUUUUCUCUUGAAUAUCUUGGCAAUAUAGGAGAUUGGGCAAUGGCCAUCAUCGAAUUUUGGUGUUCGUUUACUUUUCUUAUGCUUGAGGACAAGCAUGGUUUAGGUGUGGGGGGAAUUGAUAGACUGCAAUUUAUCUAUUUAUUUUAUUAUCAUUUUCCCCUAUUACCUGACUUGAUGUGGAUUAAUUGUUGGAUUCUACUCAUUUUUCUUAAUUUACGUAUAUUUCAGGGAGUAGAACGAAAAUAUGAUAAGAGGUGCCAAAUUGACAGGAAAAGAAUUCAGAUCAUAAAGCUUGUCCCAGGGCACUUUUGGAAAGAAAGAGGUCACGCCCAUUUUGGUAAUUUUCGCAAGGGAAUGACGGACGGAGGGCUUCGCUUCGUGUGGAGGUUCCGCCGCAAUUAAAAAAAAAAAAUGCAGAGGAAAAGGAUGGCUGAUUUUUGGGAGAGUUUUCCGUCUGUAGCUUAGCUUGAGAUUGUUGACUUUUCCUUGAGCUUGGUUUUUUACUUUUCUUACCAUGGCAGAUGGUUGAAAAACUUAUUCCUCCAUCUUUGACUUUUCUUCUUUAGCUUGAGGUAGUAGAUUGCUACAUACGAAUGUCAGCACUUAGCCACUUGUGGCUUUUGAUCUUUCUUCUUUAGAAAUUCAGGGUAGUCUUUCCUUCAUUGCUGUGCACCAAACGGAGUGAAAACUAUGAACCUUCUGUAGCUUUUCUAUUUAUUCAGUAGUCGGACGAAUUGGAUUUUGCCAAGUUUAAACGGACAUGGCCGCUGGUUUCUUUUCAAUUUCCCGUGGAUUUAGUUCAUCAAUUAUGAGCUAAUUUUCCAAUCCUAGUCAAGGAGCAACGAAGGCUCUGGCUCGCCUAAAAAUUGUGAGAUCGAUUUAAUUUAAUCUUUCCCUUUUAUUUAUUGGUAUUCGUGUAUUCCCUGAUUACUAUGCUUAUGGUUAUUUAAUUAGUUGAUUGUCUUGGAUCCGGAUAAUUAAUUGAUUUGGUAAUCUAUUAUCAAUUGGGGUAUUAAAUCCGUAAUUGUUUAAUUACCUCAAAAUAGUGACAACUGGCACGAUUAGAUUCGUGUCAGGGGGACACGCGGGCUAAUCUAAAAUAACCCUGAUAGUGUGUUAUUUGGUUAGAAUAGGGCUCCUCUAAUACGUAAGGCAAUUGGGGAAUUAAAUUUUACGGGCGUACCUAGGAUUAUUUCUCAAUUAGAGCAGUGAUUAACGGGCGUACCUUGAUCAUCGACACAGUAAGGAGGGGUUGACUGCCAUCGCUUGUUUGGCAGUUAUAACCUAUUUAUUAGUGAAUAAUUGGAAUUGCCUUUGUUUCAAGGAUCAAUUAGGUGAACCAUUGCUGAAAUUACUUCUUGGCUAGAUCUUUAAUUAAUAUCAUCUUGAUUUUAGUGAAGUGCCAUUUGGUUUUUGGUUGUCAACUUUAUUGCAUUUUUAAUUGUUCCCUUGUUUUAAUAGAUUUAGGACUUUAAUUAUUGUUAUUCUAAGUUCAGUGAAUUGUGGUUUAAUUUAUAAUUAGUUAUUUAUUUUUAUUUUCUUAUUUGAAUUUAUUUGGUUGUCGUUGUUCCUACAAAAUCACCCCCUGUGUUACUUUGAAUUUCUUAAGAAACAAAUAUACCCAAUUCCUGUGGAUACGACCCUACUUGCCCUGUCUGCAAAUUCAAAAAUAUUUGUGAAAAUAAAUAACCAUUCCAUUCGGGUAUAUCAGAUCAAGCAAACUCUUCGGGAACAGGGUGAAUCAAGUAACCCAUUGCACACCUAGAGUCCCUGCUCCAGUACUUGGAAUCGGAUUUGGUCAUUUUAACUGGCAAAUAGGUUUUAUUUUAUUAUUGUACAGGUUUCGACAACCUGUCAGUGAAUAUGUAAACACAAAAAUAUUUACCCUUCGAAGUGAUGCCUCUUAUGUUCAAUGCUUACUUGAUGUGGUGUCAAGGCUAGUGUGUGUGUGUAUACAUAUAUAAAUUUUAUUGGUGUUUAGGAAGCAGGCAAGUGCAGUCCAUUUGAAGCAGAACUACAAGAAUUGCAGGAUGGAGUGGACUAAUAUGUGACUGUUCUCACCAUUAUAGACACCCUCACAGCUUGUUGGGAGAAAUUUUUUUUUGUUUUGUACCAUAAUUGAACUAUUUAAUUCAUGUGAAGUUAAAGGGUGUGAAGCUUGUAAACUUAGGAUAAAAAACUGUGGUGUAAGAUCAAGUUCAACAGUAUGACUAUCUUGAGUAACAAUAAUUAUACCAAUUAAAACCUUAAAAGUAUUUUAAACUAUCUAAAACAUUCAAACAUGUCAGAAGAAGUUUUGAAUGAGGUCAGGAGAUAUUAACAAUUAAGGGCUUUAUUUGGCACCUGGACAUUUUUUUUUUCCAAUCACGAUCUAUAAGACUACAGUAAAUUGUUAAAAACACUUAAAAAUAUUAAAAAAUUCUAUAAAACAUUCAAAAUAGUGUACCGCCAUCCAAAAAAAAGAAAAAAAAUACUCCAUUGCCUCCUCUAUCCUUCCCCUCUUCUUCCCAUUGCGAUGGAUACAAACUUUUUUAGGAAAAGGAUAAAAGUUAAGGCAAACAAAUGAAGGAUUGGACGCGGAUGCAGAUGAAAUUUUGAAAAAAAAUAGUAGUUUAUAAUAGUUCUUUAUUUGAGUUCAUAAUAUAGCAUUCAACUUUUGGAAUGUUAAUUUUAUUAUUUGAAAACAAAAAUUAGAUUUAUAUUAUUUUUCAACUUUAUAUAUUUUUAAAAUAUUUUAUUUUAGUUCUUUACUGUAUGUUCAAAAAAAUACCCAUAAAUACCUAUUGGAUACCCAAAUCCAUAGAGUUGAAGUCUAGAUUUACUUUUUCGGACCCAUACGAGUCUGAAUCUGAAUUUAGGUCUAACUAAGUUUAAUGACUUUAGAUCUAGACCAACUAGAUGUAACCCAAACCCUACCUAUUGACAUAUACUUAACCACAGAGGACAAAAUUUUCAUAUUCAAUAAACAUGCUGAAAUAAAGGACUUAUACGGUCUUACUCUCCCGUCAAGAUAUGAAUUCUUAAUUCUAAAUCUUAUCAAUAUUGCCGAAAUUUUCCUCUCACUAAAUGUACAAUGACUAUAAGUGGAAUUAAAUUAGGACCCUACCAAAUCUGAAGCAACCUAUCAUUACAUAACGUAAACGAUUGAAACUAGAAGUCAAAUACAGGGAGCUUGGAUUCUAUGAAGACUUGACUAAAAGUUAUUGAAAAAGGGAACUAAAAAAAAAUGGUUGCAGGAAAAGGAAGAAGGCUCAUUAUUGAUGAUCAGAAUACCCUAGUGAGGUGUUGUUUGUUUGCAAGUAGGACAGCAAGUUAGAGAGGAGGAAAAUGGAAAGAACUCCACUUUUUGUGGGACUUACUGUCUAAUUAGCCAGAAGCAACGCAUAUAUUGGCAAUCGUCAGGAUUCAAGAUCUGAAUGCCAUCCAAUGGGAGGAUUUGAUCAAACCUCAAUUGCAUUUAGGAUAGGGAAAUAUUUGGAUCUAAAUUAUUUGCUUGCAUUAUAAACACAAUUUUCAAUACACUUUUUUUUUUAAUUUUUUCAAUCACCUUUUCAUUUCGCAUGCAUCACAUCACAAAAAGUGUUAUAGUAAUUAUUCCAAAAUAAUAUUUCAAAUAAUAUCCUAUCCAAACACACUCAGUUCACACUUCCAUUUUUGUUAAUCACACUCCCACUAUCGUUUUAAUCAUAUAUUUUUCAUUUAUUACACUAUAUGAUAAAACAUAUGAUGGGAGUGCAAAUCACAAAAAAUGAAAUGAAAAUAACAUUUCGCUUAGGAUAUGGUCGAAUCAUAUAUCUGAUGUAUUAACUAGACUGACCUCUAAUUUGAGACAUCUCAGCGACUUAGCCUUGACAAGUGCACAUAACUCUAAAAGGACCCAAAUGCACAUAACUUCAAAAAAGAUCGAUAUGUUUACCUCAUGUAUUAAUAUCCAAAGGAUUGCGAGCAGAGACCAAAAGAUCAGCGUAGCAAAACACAAAAAGCAAACUUGACAGAAUAAAAGGAGUAAAAUUAAAUAUCAAAAAAAAACAAAAGAGAAAAAAGAUAUAAGUAGAGGAUAAAUGAUCGGGAAUGAAUAGAAGAACUUAACAGGGUAAAAUAGAAUAUGAAAACAUAACUUGCUUAGUCAAACAAAAAUUUAAAGAGAAAAGUUGACAUUCCCUUAUUUGUUCAUACCGUAAAGGAGUGCAGAUGAGGCAAUGGAAUGAGAUGAAGAUGAGUGACAGUGGUAGUUCAGUUUGCUUCAGUGGGUUGCUUGGUGAAAAGGAUGCAAAUGAGGACGUCCACCUUGUAAAAGACGAAAACGAUAUAAUAAAAAGAUAUAUACAUAAAAUAAAAAAGUUUUACAGGGAAAUAGUGAAAUUUAAGAAACGAGAAAGGGUUCGAAACUAAAACUUUUAAUUAUUGAAGUUUCAACUUUGGCCAUUAGAUCAAAACUUUGUUGUGUUAUAUAUUACUUGUCUUUCCUUUCCUUUCUUUUUCCCUAUUUUUCCCCCUUUGGUUCUAGGAUGACAUAAAAUUAGAUUACUGGUCUCGUCCAUGAUUGGUUAUAAAUGUUAUUAAACAUUCACUGAAUUAAUCCCUCAUUCAGGAACAGUAUAAUCCCAAGGGUGGAUGUAUAAGUUAUCCUGAGAUAAUAAUAAUUUUUUUUCCGAUCAAUAUCCUAUUUAUAAACAAAGUAAUCCUAUAAGGGUGAUCCCUAGAAGGUUUUACGUGUCAUUCCACAAUAACUAAAGGGUAGGAUGAUACAAUUUUGGCUUAGUUUGGCCAUAUAACCAUAUGCUCUUACAAUCUCAUAGACCUACUCUCUCGCAGAAGCAAAACGAAAUCCUGAACUAAUAGCACUACAAAUUGCAUAACAAAUUUUUCGACAGAUGCCCCCUCUUAUUAAUGAUAUAACAUUACUUACUCGAUCAAUUUAGGCCUUGUGACUUGGGUUCAACAAGCUUUAGCCCCGCCCAAAGAAAAAUUUUACUUGGCAAUUCGAUCCGGGAUCAACAUAAUAAUUGUGCGCGCGCGCAUUCACUGAAUCAAGGGUAUCAUAUCUCGUUCAAUGUCAGAGAAGGGAAGGAAAAGCAAAAACGAAAAUAACAGACACAGGGGAGAAGGGGGGCAAAAUCAAGAACGAAUUUGGGUACAACACAAGAAAAUCUUUUGUUUGGUAGGCCAGCAAAUCAUGUGUUGAUGCAACAUUGGCAGAAUACAGGCACCAGUAGCUAUAUCUACUUCAACUGUACGUCAGACAAUCUGCAAGCAGCCAUCCAUAUUGAGUUCAACAGAAAACAUGUUUUCUGCGUUCAGAAUGCUGAUUUAGUUCGAAGAACAUGUUUAGGAGU